rnacentral:lncRNA from 1 species
GUUUGAGAGGUUCAUGGUUACCGUGGAUGCCUUCCCAUGUGUGACACGGUGCAGAUUCUCUGGGUUUUCAACGGUGCCAUCUAUGUUCCCACCUGGAGCCAUGCCUAGGCUUCAACGUUUUAAAUUCUAUAUCCGACCAGAGGAUUUCGGUGGUCAUAGUGAAAUUACUGUUGAUGACCUGGCCCUAAGCCACCUGCCAUCGCUACAGAACGUUCGGGUUCGCCUUGAUGGAGAGGAGACAUUGAGUGAAGAGUUAGCAUUGAAAGUAAAAGAGGCUCUGAGGAACGAGGCACGUGCCCACCCCAACCAUCCUAAUAUUGAUAUCCGAAUUGAUGAGAAGUGGAUCCAGCUGUGCAUGUAUGUAUUCUUUCUUUUUUCUACUUUUUUAACCACCUCUUACUGUAGCCUGUCUAAUAAUCUUCUGCAUGAUCCCAUGAGUACUAUGACAUCGAUGGAUGCCACUGAGUUUCACCCCACACUUAGCAUGGCAAAUAUGCUUAUUUACCUACUAUUUUAUUCCAGUUUUAUGUGCCGCUAAUAAGAAUCCUUUACAUUUGUUACGCUUCUAGUUAUCAUUUUUAUUCAUUUGUUACCAGAGCAAUUGGCGAUUGGACAAUCUAGUUGUGACCUAUGUUCCUUCUUUGCAUAGUUAGACAGUCUGCUGCGUAUUCGAAAAUCAAUGUGACUGUCCUCAUAAAAUUUCUGAGUUAUUCGUAUAUACUAUAUGAUGCUAAUUGCUUGUUGUGUACAUGUACCAGGUAAUGGUUGGACGUACAUCGCCUUUAACAUAGAUUCACCAACUCCACUUUUCACGGUGCAGCUUUACUCUACGAUCGACAUCAAUGGCCAAUAAUUGGCCAUAACUACACUCACAUUGUUCUUGUGUACUCAAUCAUGCUUGACGAACAUAUCUGUAGAUCCACUUGGCUUGCUCAAGGUUUCAGUUUACUAUGUUCGUUAGACUUUCAGUAACAGUUGAUCAUGCCGAGCUGGCGGCUUUAUAUAAUAUUAUCCUAUCAUGUACGUACAAUUAAGUUUGUGCCAUACACUUGUUUUUUGCAAAAUUAUUAGAGGUACCCUCAUGUCAUGUGCUGUCAUCAACUUUUUUAGCUUUUUAUGCGUAUUGUAUCUUCAGUUGCAAAGCUUGUAUUGUCAGGGCGUGGUCGAUCGGGGGUGCGGCAGGGCCGGCCGGGGCAUGGCCGGCCGGGGCUGGGGUGGCCGGAUCCACUGGCCAGGGCGUUGGCUGCCGGGGUGGCAGGCCUGGUGGCUAACGUCGGGCGGCGCUCGACCGGGGGGUGGGCGCAGUGCACGGGUGCGGGGGUGGGAGGCUGGGUGGCGCAGUGUGGGCAGAUGAGUUGGGGUUAGUUUAGGGGCAGGGCGGGUGGGCCUUUAGUUUUUUUUUUUUUUUUUUUUUGCUCAUUUCGCCGAGUGCUAGCAGGGACGGCAUUUGGCAAAGAAGAGUUUGCCAAGUGCCAACAAUUGCACUCCACAAUUUUUUUUGUUUUAUGUUUCCAAUUUUUUAUAGCCUCGUGAGCCGGGAUGAUCAGGCCCACGGAGCGCAGGAGGAGGAUCUCCUUGAUGAUGCAGUGCAGGUAUGGGAGGCUGGAGACCGGAAUCUUCCCGUCGGAACGUUCGGACGGGAGACACGGUCCGAUGGUUUCCCGCCUCCGUUUUCCGCGUCGACGAUUCCGUGCGUUGGCUUGGCUGCAGUUUCUAGCUUUCUACACGUUAGCUGUUGCGUCAAUUACUUUUUUGACUUUUUCAGUCAGCCCAAUAAAAACAGAAAGCGGAGCGAGGAGUAGGAGUCCAUGUACUUAUUUCUUCUUCUAUUUUUCUUCUGUUAGCUUUUUAUCUUUAUUUUAUUCUAUCUUUUUUAUUUCUUUUUCUUUUAACUCUAAUUGUUUUUAUUCUAUUUUUUUAUGUGUUCAUAGGUUGGUAUGUUUAUCUUUUUUCUUUCCUUAUAUUUAUUUUUUUCCAUUUGUCAUGUGGUUUUUUCUUUUUUUUUCAAUUUGUAAUUUUUUUCUAUAUCUAAUUUUUUUCUUUUUCUACUUUUUGUUGUUUCUUUUUUAAUUACUAUAUAAACUAUUUCUUUUUUAUCUGUUUUUAUUUUUUUAUUUUUUGUGUUUAUGUUUCUUCUAUUUUUUUUCUCCUUUUUAUUGGUUUUUUGUGUUCAUGUGUUUGUAUAUGUGAUGUUUUAUUGUUAUCUUAUCUUUUUUUUUUUGAUUUUCUAUUUGUUUUAUUUAUUUUGUUUUCUAAUUAUGUUUUUCUUUAAUUCUUUUCUCUUUUUUAUUAACUUUUUGUGUUCAUAUAUAUGCGAUGUUCUAUAAUACAUUAAGUGUUGUUCUAUGGUGAAUUUAGUGAUGUCCACUUAGUAUACAUAUAAUGUUCUAUAAUGUAUUGAGUGAUGUUUUAUGAUGUAUUUAGUGAUGUUCACUUAGUAAACAUAUGGUGUUCUAUGAUAUAUCUAGUGAUGUUCACGUAAUAUAUAUACGAUGUUCUAUAAUAUAUUUAAUAGUGUUCUAUAGUGUAUUUAGUGAUGUUCAGUUUAGUACACAUGUGAUGUUUUAUAGUUUAUUUUUAGGAUGUUUGAAAAGUAUCUAUGAUGUUCUUUUAAAAUUUUCUCUAUUACAUGUUUUUUUCUUAUGCUUUGCUUUAGAUUUUUUUGUUUACAUGAUGUAUUUAUUUAUUUAUUUUAAAUAUUAUAAUAUUAGUUUGAUGAAUUUAAACUAGAACACUAUUUUUUAAACUCAGAACAUUUUUCUUACGAAUAUGGAACAUUUGUUUUCUAAACCUAGAACAUUGUCUCUCAUAAAUAAACAGCAUCUACCAACCGUUAACUAUGCUACACUGAUAUUAGUCCUACAAGACAGACUUUAUUCACAUGUGUGCUACUCCAGUUGGGCGGGAAACCAUCGGACGGCGAAUUCGGUCCGCCCAUUCCGACCCUAGCAGCCCCCGGCUGGAGAUGUCUGAUUCAUCCACCAGCUGAGCUGUUCUGACGUGCGUGUCCUCACCUUUUUCAUGGCAUCAGGAUGCAGCAGCAGCUGUGCCAUCGCCCAUUCGAUUGUUAGCAUUGAUGUCCCAGUCCCUCCUUGGAGUAUAACCUGCACGCAUGUACCGUACCGUCAUUAGGAAUUAUUUUAGUAUAUAUAUUAUAUAAAUUAUUUAAUAGAAACAUUUCUUACUUCACAUGUUUUCAAUCAAAAUCUCUUAUGUACGUUAUUUAUUGAUGGUUAAUCAACACUUAAUUUUUUUUGAAAAAAAACACAUGCAAGAAAUUUGCCAGGCAUGUAUUAAUAAAGAAGCAACAUAGAUACUCUCUCCAUCCCAAAUUGUAAGUCAUUCCAAGAAUCUUGGAGAGUCAAAGUAUUUUCACGUUUGACCAAAAUUAUAAAGAAAAAUACUAAGAUUUAUAACAUAAAAUGAGUAUACUAUAAAAAUAUAAUUAAAAAAAAUCUAAUGAUACUUAGUUAGUACCAUAAUAAUUAUUAUUUUAUAAUAUAAAUUUGGUCAAACUUAUAAAAGUUUGACUCUCCAAGAUUCUUGGAAACAAUUUGGAAUGGAGGGAGUACAAAGGAAGCAACAAUGCGAUAGCAGGGCAACAACACAAACCCCAUGAAGCCACCAAAUCAGCGGCGAACAAACAACCUUUCAUGAGGCAACCAACAAGGGAAUAGUUUGGGGUGCGUACCUGUGUCAUUGUGGGAUGAAAACGGAUCGGAUACGGACGGAUAUCACUGAUAUCAUAUUUGUUUUCAUAUUUCUGGUCGGAUUCGGAUUCGAAUACGGAUAAUAUCAACCAUGUCGGAUAAGAUAGGAUUAGAUGUCGACAUCAUAAAUAUACGAUUUAAAUAUUCGGAUACGGAUACGGUACCGGAUGUUGAAUAGUCGGACACGAAUACGGACAGAUCUAAACCCCUCUAAACGAAUACGGUCUCGAAUACGAUCGGACAAUAUUCGUACCGUUUUCAUCCCGUCAAUGAUGAUCGAGGCACCAAGGUUUUUCAACCGAACCUAGGAAGUAGGAGGCCUCUUGUAUCAAUGCCUCCAUCGAGAAGCGUGGCGCCAAACCCUCACCACUGCCCACGACACCAUGUAGCCGGACAGGGCUUUCAAUUCACCACCGAAGUCCUACUCCAAAACUCAAACACCAAAGAAGCUACUGGUUCAAAAGUUGCACAUCCACCAAAAGAAUUAGUCAGCAUCCGUGGACACAUAUGAAACGUUGAGAGCAUCUUCGGAGUAUAGACGGCUUACGGCUAAGUUAAGUGGAGUACUGGAGUUGCUAUACAUACUUGCUAGAUUGAUUUCUUUAAGCCCGACCUAGGGUGAGGAGCUGAAACAUCAAAUUUCGAUGGUUAAUUUUCUAAUCCUAAAAGUUUUCUUUGGUGAAGUGAGUAUUCGACCAUAAUCAGUAUUAUAAAAAAUCUACGACAAAGGCAGACAAAUCACUGGAACAUACUAUAUAUACUGUUAGAAAAAGCUUACGCUACGUAUGGGAAUCGAUAGCUUUAGGUGCAGGACGGGGCAUUAGCACCGGUCGGGAAGAGCCUGUUGCCCCGGUUCCCGAGCCGGUGCUGUCCUUCCGGGACUAAAGACCCACCCUUUAGUCCCGGUUCGGGCAACCGGGGCUAAAGCCCCCCCUUUAACACCGGUUGGUAAUACCAACCGAUGUUAAAGGGUCCUUCCAGGGCUGCCACGUUGCAGGACUCUUUAACACCGGUUGGUAGGGUUUCUUUUUUUUGGUUCAGUUCUUCGGUUCUGUUUAUUGUUUUUAUAUAAUAUAUAAUAAUAGGUUUUUUCAAUACAUAUUUUUGCUGAUACAAUAAUAUAUUUAUAUUACACGCAUAUUAAGCAUAUAUAAAUGAAAAUUAUAGGCUUAGCUUAAUAAUUAAGCUUUGCCUACAAUAAAAUGAAUAGACCACAUCAAAAAUUAAAUAGAUAUGUAAAAAGCUUUAUAUAUAUAUAUAUAGUUUUAUAUGUACAAAAUUCGUAACACAUAUAUACAUAGAGUUUUUUCUCCCAAUGUCUACAAACGAUACAAAUGAUCAUCGUUGUUUGGAAUAAGAGUUUCGUUGCCGUUGAAGUGAAACCCGCCGUUUGGAUUGAUCACUUGGUCGCGGAGAAAUCCUGCUAUCGUCUCUUGGAUAGCUUUGAUUCGGUCUUGUUGUAGGACCUUUUCCCUCAGUCAUUCCGUCUUUAGUUUGAAAUAAAUAAAAAAGGUAUUAGUUAUCUUAGUUAUUCAAUAUAAAUCAGGAGAUAAUGAAAAGAGACAUGUAACGUACUCUGAGCGUCUCUGUGGGUGUUUGAUUGACUUGUGCCAUCAUGAAUUUGCACACGUAAUAUGCGCAUAGAUUGUUCCCCCUUCUUGUCUUAAACACCACUGUACGAUAUAUAUAUAAAAAUAUUCACGACCACGACAAUAAGAAGGCUAAAAGUUAGCGAAAAUUUGUUAGCUAGUAGAACUUACUUGUGGAUGUAUUAUGUUAAGCGGCGCUUUACAUCCACUGAGAUGUUCACGGUCAAUGAAUCUUUCCCAAACCCUGUACACAGCCAUUGUGGAUCGUGAACAAAUAAUUACAGAGCCAUAUUAUGAUAUUUUUGUAGCUGAGAUCGACAUUACGUACCUUUGAAUAAUGUUUACCAUUUGUUGAUAAUUUUCUUGUGGUUUUCUCAUUGAGUCAAAGAUUAUCAACCGGUUCUUGGGAAUUUCAAUGACCAUGAGUAUCCAGUGAAAGCUGUUUACACACACAUAUAUAUAGUCAGUCCUAUAAUGUAAAAUAAAAUAUGCAUGCACUUAAUAACUAUAUAACUCACUCGAAGUUGAAGAGGAAGAGUAUUUUUUGUUUUUUUUUGUUCACAAAGAACCUCAUAAGAUUGGUGCAGACUUCUGUCUCAUGAUCUGCUGUCCACACUGCCUGCGGAGCCUUGAAAACAAUAUAAGGGUCAACGAACCCAAUACUAUUGUCAUUUCUCAUUCUGAGCUCUCUCAUUUGGUGCCUGCAUAUAUACAUACAAAUCCUAAGUGUGUAAGGAUUAUAUACAUGUAAUUAAAGAAGUUAGAAGUAUAAUAAAAAGAAAAAAAUACUUACAGACAAAAGCAGCUGACAAGAGAUUUGUCAAGAGCGUCGAGGUGACAUAAUUGGUGCAAUUCUUCGAACUGCACGUAUAUGAGGUCAUCUCCAUGGAAGUAGUGAUGUUGUCUAAUACGAACAGAAAUCCAAUUCUCUCCCCUUUUAGACGCCUCAAUGCACCAUUUGUUUAUUGCAAACAUUUGUGUGCCGAGCUCGUGUAAACGCUUAGGGUCGAAUAGACUCCUGCCCGGUUCAUAUCUUGCCCUCCAUUGAUCAAAUACCUCGACUUUUUCAAAUGUUUGGCAUCCAAGAAUGGCGGCAAUUUCUUCCAUAUUUAGACCGCUCUGUCCAAAGUAACGCUCAAGCGAGUCUAGCUCAGACAACGCUAAGGAUUUCUUUGGCAUCAAGUCUUCAUUUGAGCCGUAUUGAUUUGGCACAAUCAAAGGGGGCACCGGUUUUGAUACUUCUCCGAGCUGUGGGACCCCCUUUCCUACUCUCUUCUUAGGCUGUGAAGACUUGACCAGAGACCGCUCAUAGUCCGAAAGUGCUGGCUUUUUCUGAGCUUCGCGUUGCUUCUUUUGAUGGUCCGCCACCUUCUGCCUCAGUUCCGAUGGCUUCACAUAAAAGUACGGCUUUUCUGGGUUAAGCCGUUUUUUCCUUUCCUCCUUUAAAUUAUCAAAAAAUUGUUUGACCUCAGCUUUGGAUAUAGCAAUUUCCUCCUCUUCACUCUUUUCGUAAGGUAAUUUUUCUGGCGUCUUAGCUCUCUUUGCUGAGGCAGCCUUCUUUGGAGGUGGGACCGAUGACUUCGGUCCUUCUUGGGCGGACCGCUUCUUACUACCUCGCUUUGGAGGCGAGGGGACCAACCGUGCACUCUUUGGAGAGGGCGGUGCAGGCGGUGGAGGUGGUGGGGCCGAUCUUUUUGGCGUUGGAGAACGCGGUAGAGGAGUUGGAGACCUCGGUGGAGGAGUUGGAGACCUCGGUGGAAGAGGUGGAGACCGUGGUGGAGGCGGUGGCGGGGUCGGUGUGGCCGCCGCUGGUGUUGGAGGAGAUCCAGCAUUGUCACCGCCCGCAGCACUAUGAUGCGCUGGGGAGAGAACUGGACUGAGGUUUGAGGAGUCCCUGCAAAGAAAACAAUUACAAGUUGUGUGAGCAAAUUUUUUUUUAAUUUCAAUACAUAAUAAAUAAUAUAAGAAGUAAAAUCACACACAAACCUAUGUUGAGGAAUAAUUAUGAAGCGCUUGCGCCAACAAUUAAAUGUCUUCUCAGCUUCACCUAAGGUCUUCUCUCCGUCUCCCCCUUCUAUAUCUAGUGGCACAUUGCCACAACCUUUCUCAACCCUAUCAACCGAGAUGCUAGCAUAUCCACCAGGUACUGGUCGAUUAUGGAUUCUUGGAGUUCUCGUUCGGUCAAUAGGGUUGACAACAGCGAUAGCCACCUUUUUGCUUGCAUUCCCAUCUGGUACAUGCAGCUCACAGGUAGUAAAAGCCUCUGUGACAUCAUCCACGGGGAAGUGUAGCUUCGUAUCAUCCUGAAUGGUUGGUACUUCCGUGGAUGCGCAGCUGCUUUUCAACUGGCCUGGGGGCCUAACAUUGACCUCAGGCUGUGAUGUACCUUGCCCUUUCGUCAUUUGACUAAGUGCUACUUGCACUUGCCUUUGAAUCUCUGCCUGCAUCCAUUCUUCACAAGCUUUCUCGCGCUCUUGUGACUGCAGAACAAAAGCUUCCAGGCGGCGGAUCCACUCUGCCUCCUCAUCCUUCUUUCUCUGGCGGCUUCUGUAGGUAUCUUGAUCGGCUUGGAAUGAUUGCAGCCACGGAACUGCCCCAUAGCCUCUCGUACGCCCACCGUGCUCAGGAUUUUCAAGCGCAUAGGUGAGUUCAUCCUUCUCCCUGUUAGGCCUGAACUCACCAGACUGAACCGCCUCUCGUGCACGGACUAGUCUCUCUGCUGCUCUAGAGAUUUCUUGGCCCCAAACUAGCGCCCCGGUGUCUGGGUCCAUGCUUCCCCCAUGACCGUAGAACCAAUGCUUGGAGCGCUCGCUCCAAUUUUUUACUAUUGUCUCGGGUGUGACCCCCCUAGCAAGCAUCUCCUGUUCCAUUCGGUCCCACUUGGGAACAACAAUCUUAUAACCACCUGAUCCCAUAUGAUGGUGGUAUGUCUUUUUAGUGGCAUUCUCUUUAUUUCUAUUGGCUCGUUCCUCGCCCUCUUCGGAUGUUUUGUACUGCACAAAGUCAUCCCAGAAGGCCCUCAGCUUUACAUAUUGCUUGAGGUUGAAAUUUGGAGUCUCGUUUUUCUUGACAUAUUUAUUGUACAAAGACUUCUUCCAAUUCUGGAAGAGUACUGCCAUCUUCUUCAUAGUCCAGUCAUAAAUUCGCACCUUCAACUCUUCAUCAUUGGUGUCGAAGGUGAAAACGUCUAUGACGGCUUUCCAAACUAACUCCUUGUCACGAUCAGAGACAAAACUGAUCUCAGGAGCACCUCGCUUCUCUCUCCAUUCACGAGCACUGAUCGGUAUUUGAUCUCUCAUAAGAUAUCCACAGUGACUAACAUAUUUAUUUGCAUGCUCACCAAGUGGUCUGCCUGUAGCUAUCUCAAACUCAGAGAUUACAUAGCGGCCCUCCAACGGCUUCUUUGGCCCUCGUGGAGGUACGCUUCUCCCCGUAGAGGUCGAUCCAGAAGGCUACACGUAGAUAUAGAAACAAAAAUACUAAAUUAAUAACCAAGUAAUAAGUCUAAAACCUAAUAUAAGAGAUACAUUAAUUAUAUAUGUUUACAUUUACAUACCUCGCCAGUAUUUUCUUCUUGUUGCACGACAAGUUGUUGCUCAGGGACAUUGCCCUCUUGUUGCUCAGGGGCAUUGCCCUCUUGUUGCUCAGUAGGAUUGCCUUGCAUGAUCUCGUGGUAAUCAACAAAGUACUGACUACCGUCGUCGAUUAUAUUUUGAAUGGCAUCUUCCAUAUAUUCAGGAUCAUCAUGACGACGGUCAGCCAUUUCUAUGUCUGCAACCAUACAUAUAUAUAUUCUAUAUAAGAUAAGAAAUGCACUAGAAUAAUAUACUAAAAAAAUAAUACUAACAAUAACACUAGAAUUCAUAAUAUACUAAAACACUAGAAUUCAUAAUAUACUAGAAAAAUAUACUAAUAAUAAUACUAGAAUAAUAGUACAAACAAUAAUAUAUACAAAACACUAGAAUUAAUAAUAUACUAGAAUAAUAUACUAAAAAUAAUACUAGAAUAAUAGUACAAACAAUAAUAUAUAUACAAAACACUAGAAUUAAUAAUAUACUAGAAAAAUAUACUAAAAAUAAUACUAGAAUAAUAGUACAAACAAUAAUAUAUACAAAACACUAGAAUUAAUAAUAUACUAGAAUAAUAUACUAAAAAUAAUAGUAGAAUAAUAGUACAAACAAUAAUAUAUAUACAAAACACUAAAAUUAAUAAUAUACUAGAAAAAUAUACUAAAAAUAAUACUAGAAUAAAAGUACAAACAAUAAUAUAUACAAAACACUAGAAUUAAUAAUAUACUAGAAUAAUAUACUAAAAAAAUACUAGAAUAAUAGUACAAACAAUAAUAUAUAUACAAAACACUAGAAUUAAUAAUAUACUAGAAUAAUAUAUAAAAAAUAAUACUAGAAUAAUAGUACAAACAACAAUAUAUACAAAACACUAGAAUUAAUAAUAUACUAGAAUAAUAUACUAAAAAUAAUAUUACAAUAAUAGUACAAACAAUAAUAUAUAUACAAAACACUAGAAUUAAUAAUAUACUAGAAUAAUAUAUAAAAAAUAAUACUAGAAUAAUAGUAAAAAAAUAAUAUAUAUACAAAACACUAAUAGAAUAAAUUUAUGAUAAACAAUUUUAUAUAUGUAUAUAUAUAUUAUAUACAUUUAUUAUAUACAUAUAUAUAUACAUUUAUUAUAUAUAUUUAUGAUAAACACAAUUGUAUAUAUGUAUAUAUGUAUAUAUAUCAUAACAAUUCAUUCAUUUUGCAGAUAAUUUUGCUGGAGUUCGAUUGAUCUAGUACAUAGGAGCGAGGAGACGGCCGGAGUUCCCGAUCGACGUGGAAGAUGUGGCCGGCGCGCGCUGGUGGCCCGCUGCGGCGGCGCUGGUGGAUGGCCGCGGCGGGGCGUUGGGGGAGGGCCGUGGCGGCGGCAAGGGAGUCGAAACGACGACGGCGGCGAAGAUGAACCCGGCGGCGCUGCAAACGAAGACGAAGACGAAGAUGAACUGCCGGAUCCAGGGCUCCUGCGCACAUAUAUAGGGGCGGACCCAUUAGCACCGGUCCGUGGCUGGCACCGGUGCUAAAGGGUCCCUUUAGCACCGGCCGGUAACACGAGCCGGUGUUAAAGGUGCUAAAGGGACCCUUUAGCACCGGUUCCAGCCACGGACCGGUGCUAAAGGGUCCAGCGCGCGCUAUGGCGGGCUCCUGAAAUUUUCAGGAACCUUUAGCACCGGUUCCCACUAUGGGCCGGUUCUAAAGGCCCUGUUUUUUAGUUUAGGGUUCUUCAAUUGUUUAUAUAUACAGUUUAUAUAAUAAAUUGUAUAGUAAAUUAAAUAUUUUAUAUAAUGUUUUUUAGACAGUGACAUAUAUUGUAAUUUGUUUUAAUGUACACAUGAAAAUUUUUAAACUUAAAUAUCUUAUUGUAUUUUUAUAAUUUGCAAUGAUUUUGUAAGAAAUGUUUAGUAUUUUGUUAAUGCAAAAAUAUAUUAUUCCAAUAAAUUUACAAAAACUAUAUCCAAUCAACUGGAAAUUUAUUUUCACAUCAUAUUGACGUAAAACUUUUUAUUUUUGUUAUUUAUUACUAGGAAUGCUAGUUGGGUAUAGUUUUCAUCAAAUAAAAAAUCAUAUAAAAAUUAUAUCUUGAUGAACACACCCUUUGACCGAACCCUAGAUUGUCCCAAAUGGAAAAGUCAUGAAUACAAAGUUUGCUACACUCAUCAAGUUCUACAUUUUGUCUAAUGGUCAACUUUACUUUUGGAAAAGUUUGAACCACUGAAUUUUGAAUUUUCAUAGAACUCAUAGCCACGCAGCGGUUUCGGAACCCUAGAUGGUCUCGAAUGGAAAAGUCAUGGAUACCAAUAUUGUUCCAUUCAUCAAAAUCCACAUUUCAUAUAUAGACCAUUUUUGCAUUUGACAAAGUUUUGGGAAGGUGUAGUUGAAAAUCCACAAAUGACACAUAUAGUUUCAUAUAGUUUGUGUGAGAUUCAAGAAUUGGUGGGUAUUGUUAACUUAGACUUUCUCAAAUGAAAAAGUUGUGUAUAUAAAAAGUUUAGAUCUUAAAGAUAUCUAACAACUUGGUAUUCAAAAUAUUUUCAUUUUAAGUAAUUUAGUUUGUCAUUUGACCAAGUUUGACCAAAACCCGUCUUGGAUUUUAUAGAAAUGUAAUUAGGAUUGGCUCAAAAUUAUCCAAAUGGAAAAAUGGACAAUAUAUAAAAUGUAGAUCUUGAUGAUCUAUAACAACUUUUUAUUCAAACUUUUUUCAUUUGAAGUCAUCAAAUGGGCCAUUUGAUCAAGUUUGACCAAAGUCAAAGCAUUGGUUUUUACAAACACACCCUUUGACCGAACCCUAGAUUGUCCCAAAUGGAAAAGUCAUGAAUACAAAGUUUGCUACACUCAUCAAGUUCUACAUUUUAUCUAAUGGUCAACUUUACUUUUGGAAAAGUUUGAACCACUGAAUUUUGAAUUUUCAUAGAACUCAUAGCCACGCAGCGGUUUCGGAACCCUAGAUGGUCUCGAAUGGAAAAGUCAUGAAUACCAAUAUUGUUCCACUCAUCAAAAUCUACAUUUCAUAUAUAGACCAUUUUUGCAUUUGACAAAGUUUUGGGAAGUUGUAGUUGAAAAUCCACAAUUGACACAUAUAGUUUCAUAUAGUUUGUGUGAGAUUCAAGAAUUGGUGGGUAUUGUUAACUUAGACUUUCUCAAAUGGAAAAGUUGUGUAUAUAAAAAGUUUAGAUCUUGAAGAUAUCUAACAACUUGGUAUUCAAAAUAUUUUCAUUUUAAGUAAUUUAGUUUGUCAUUUGACCAAGUUUGACCAAAACCCGUCUUGGAUUUUAUAGAAAUGUAAUUAGGAUUGGCUCAAAAUUAUCCAAAUGGAAAAAUGGACAAUAUAUAAAAUGUAGAUCUUGAUGAUCUCUAACAACUUUGUAUUCAAACUUUUUUCAUUUGAAGUCAUCAAAUGGGCCAUUUGAUCAAGUUUGACCAAAGUCAAAGCAUUGGUUUUUACAAACACACCCUUUGACCGAACCCUAGAUUGUCCCAAAUGGAAAAGUCAUGAAUAUAAAGUUUGCUACACUCAUCAAGUUCUACAUUUUGUCUAAUGGUCAACUUUACUUUUGGAAAAGUUUGAACCACUGAAUUCUACAUUUUCAGAGAAUUCAUAGCCACGCAGCAGUUUCGGAACCCUAGAUGGUCUCGAAUGUAAAAGUCAUGAAUACCAAUAUUGUUCCACUCAUCAAAAUCUACAUUUCAUAUAUAGACCAUUUUUGCAUUUGACAAAGUUUUGGGAAGGUGUAGUUGAAAAUCCACAAUUGACACAUAUAGUCAUGACAAUUUUUGCAUUUGAUGAUCUCUAACAAUUGGAAAAGUCAUGAAUACAAAGUCAUGAAUACAAAGUUUGUUACACACAUCAAAAUUCACAAUUCUCAAAUAUAGUUUCAUACAAAGUCAAGCCGACACAACAGUGAACUUCUUCUUGACGUAUGACCCUUGGUUAUGAUUCUGCCAUAACCAUGGAGUAUCCUCAUUGUUUAACAGAAUGCUUGGGUCUUUGUUGACUAUGAAGGGCGGAAUUCGAUCAUCCCUUUCGUAAUCGCCUGACAUGUCUGACUUGUCCUCAAUUCCGACAAUGUUUCUUUUCCCAGAAAGGACAAUGUGGCGCUUUGGCUCAUUGAUGAUUGAGUGGUCAUCAUUUUUUCCUCUCUUUGGUUUCGUAGACAUAUCUUUGACAUAGAACACCUGACUCACGUCUGCAGCAAGGACGAAUGGUUCGUCUUUGAACCCACUAUUGUUAAGGUCCACGGUUGUCAUCCCAUACUCCUUGUCGAUUGUUACCCCACCUCCGGUCAUCUUCACCCAUUGGCACCGGAACAAAGGAACUUUAAAAUUAGCUGCAUAGACUAGUUCUCAUAUGUCUUCUAUGCGUCCAUAAUAUGUUUGUCUGUUCCUAUUUGGAUCUGUGGCAUCCACGCGUACACCACUAUUUUGGUUGGUGCUCCUUUUAUCUUGGCCAACUGUGUAAAAUGUGUUACCAUUUAUCUCGUACCCUUUGUAUGUGAGGACAAGCCAUGAUGGUUGCCUGGCCAACAAAUAAAGCUGCUCAUCAAUGUUUUCAUCACCUUGACAUUUUUUGCGCAACCAAUCGCCAAAAGUUUCCAUGUGCUAACGCAUUAUCCAAGCUUCAUUCUUCCCGGGCCACUGGGACCGUCACUACAAGAAACACAUGGCUUUUUAACGUUUAGUUAUGUCACAAUAUAUGGAAUUUAUGUUACAAAUUAAGAUUUGUGACAUCAAGUUGACAAAAAUCAAAACGUGGAAAAGCCCGCGUCAUAAAAUGAUUAUGUGACAUUUGUUUGGUUCAUGUCACAAGCAUAUGACAUUGAUUUAUUGUCACAAAAUCGUAGGUCUUGCCACGUGGCAGCUGACAUGGCAGGGAAAAAAAUAUCACAAACACUACAAAAAAUGUCACAACCAUCAUAAUUCUGUUACACGUCAGUAUGCUGUUUAUGGCCCAUUAUUCAUGCCCAUGUGUUUGUGGCACGCUCAUGAAAUACAUAUAAAUUGGAAGAAAGCUCACAAUUGACAAAAUAUUGGUCAUCUUUUUCAUUGAAACCAUCAACAUUUGUACUUGUACAACUUUUCAUAGAAAAUACAAAGGCAAUAAGCAAGCUACACACAAGUAGCUACAAAACUAAGAGGGUAGCUUGCAUAAUACAACUCAUAUGAUUUGCUUGCAUAACAAAAUCUUUCAAAAAUAGCCACCAUGAGCACUUUUACAAUACUAGUUCUCAUCUCAAAGGUCCGCUGGAAGUGCUUCUCAUCGAUCAGAUGCUGAAGCAGGCCACGCUAUUCUUCUCAUAGGCAUGUGCAAUCUCCACCUGCCAAUAACCAGGUAGUGCAUCUAAAAUUCAGUCACGAAUUAGAUCUAAUCUUAAAUUAAGUCAUAAAUUACCUUCGUGCUGGUUGACAUGGAUGAGCAGCUAAACUGUUGGUUUUUAACUGCAAUGGGAGCAAACUACAAUAACGUAAUGGUUGUAUCCAGAACACAAAAACAGUUAUGCAAUCAUAGCCAAAUUCUCUGUAGAACUAGAGUAGGGAUAAACAUUCUCAUAUGAAUAGCACAAGAGUAUAGGUUUUAUCAUUAGCAACUACAGAUGGGAUUCAGAACCAUAAUGCUCCAUCCCACACUGUAUCAGAAAUUGCAGUAUCAAUUUUAAAGAUCAAAAGAUACCUUUUAAGCAAAGAUAUAUUUUUAGACAACAAAAAAACACUAGUAUUGGAAAAUAGAACAGGACAUUGCAUCAUAUAGACACCAAAGUUUAGAGUAGUCCUUAUGGCAAAAGGUAAUUGAAGAAAGGAAGCUUCACUCACCCUACUGAAUUCAGUGGUUGCUGUAGUCGCGCAGAAAAACUAAUUGCAUUUGGCCUCACAAUUUCCUCCCUGUAGACAAAUGAGAAUGGAAUCAUAUGUACGUUGCUAUGACUAACAUAUGCUCUCUAAAUUAUGGAUACGAUCUAAGCAUGCCAACACAAGCGCAUCAUAUAUAAUAAAGAUUUACCUUAGCAUAUGAUAAAACAUAUACUCUCUAAAUAGAACAGGAAAGCAAAAUAACCUACAUGUAGAUGUAUAGGAAGGGAAGUCAAAUCAGUCUUGAUCUCAAAGAUCCUGUUCUUCCCCAAAAUCCCAAAAUCCGAACCCUAAAUCAAAAGUUUUUCCAAAUUUCGUCCCAAAUCCCUACCCCUAAGAUCAUCAAAAUAAUUUUGCUUACCCUAAGACGUCACACUUGUGCCAUGAAGACUAUCAUAUCAUUGUGCCUUGAACACAUUAAAUGAACUAGGAAUAACAGAAUGACAUCUCUGAAACCAGGUUAUUGCACUAUAAACUGGGUUAUCAAGCUGACCUUUCAAGGGAGCUGCUGGUCCAAAGUUGAGACAACAUCAAUCAGCAAUUCGAGAUGCUUACUGGUAGUAUAGCAUAAACGAAAACAAGCAUAGCAAGCAAACCAACUAAAUAACUAAGAACACGGCCAUAAGGCACCAACUACUAAACAAUUUUAUUAACUAUGUGAAACGCACCUGAGAGUCAGCUGAACCACACAGGGAAAGUCAAAAGUAACAUUUUUCCUCUUGCACAAACCUCUCUUCUCCCUCUCAUGUAUAGAUCCAACACAAUGAAAUUUACAGGAACAUCUAGCAAUAAAAUUAAAAAUAUACAAAGACAUACAUUUUAUUAAUUUGUGAGAACUUACCAAUUUCCUCUUGGACUGAACCAAGGAAAUUGCCACCUUGAAGUAUUGCUGCAAAUUUCAAUUUAAGAGUUCAAUGAGUGCACAGCGAAACAAAAUAUUGAUACAAGACAGAAGUUUUGAUGAUUUAACUAAAUAAAGUUUAUACUAAACAAUUAGAAACAUCCUUAACCUGCUAGAGUGGGCUGAAUGGCUGUCCUCUAGAACUUGUUAGUGUUGGCAUGGCUACCUUUAUACUUUAGGCUUUUUGUGACACACAAAUACAGAGAAAGCAACAAAAAAAUUCAGUCAGCGACAUAAUAAGCAGUCAAUCGUUUUGCUGAGCUUCCAGAGUAACUGCAAAUGCGUGGUCAGAUAGAACACUGCUCAAACCUAAUCCUGUCUGCACAUUAACUAAUUACUACUAUAUCUGCCCUGAUAGGAAACGCAAUGCAGAACCCUAUCCUGAGGCAAAGCUGCAGUAGUGCCACACUGUCUGACUGGCAUCUAAUUGCUACGCAAAUCGCUCACAUUUCAGAAAAGGAAUUUUCCUGUGCUGCUUCAGAUAAAAGUAUUCUUUUUUGAUUUAUUUAUAAGCACUAUUUGAUUAUUAGAUACUCUUGUGAAGUAAAUACUCUAAUCCAAUUAUAUUCAUGUACUAAAAAUACUUUUUAAAUAAAAUAGACUACAUAUAUGUCUCUUUGUAGUAGUUUCACAAAUUUAAGAACCAAUUUACUAUUUUCUAUUGUUUAAAUAAAUACCUACGUGCAUUUGGAAAAUCACUACAACUUCGUAUCUAACAAUGUCCAAAAAUUAGAAAAAAAUAUGUAAGAAGACAUGUUAUAUUUGAGAUUACAUCCUAAAAUUAGAUGAAAAAUAAAUUGUUUUAAAUCAUUUUGACAAAAUGAGACAGUAUAUUGUUUACGAAUGGAUACAUCUCUCACAUAGUUAUAUAACUAUAUAUGAGACAUGUGAGAGAUUUUACCUAUUUAUGAAUAAUGUAUAGUCCAACAAUAUUAGACACCCGACAUCAACAUGCACAAUUUAUUUUAAAAAUUUUAAUAAAAUAAUUUGUGACACAUAAACAAGCAUUAUGACACAAAAAUAUUGUCACUAGAUGAAAUUUGACUUGUUAAAUGACAUUUGUUGUGACAUACAACUUUUUAUUGUCACUAAGUCAUAGUGCCUAGAAUAUAAUGUCACAAAAUGGAUGAUGUAGUGACAUUAUGACCAUUGUCAUAUUAAAAACGUUAAAAAGCCACACAUUUCUUGUAGUGCGUAGGAAAUCUUUGUGUACCUCAACAUAUGGUUCCACCAAUGAGGAGUUCUGGAGAACUGUGUAGUGUGCUUUAUUGAAGUAAUCGUCUCCCGUACCAAUAUAUGUUUUCUUCGAAAGUGUUCCCUUUCCGCUGAGUCUGCCCUCGUGUCGAGAUUCAGGAAUGCCAAUUGGGUCAAGGUCUGGAAUAAAGUCAACACAGAACUCUAUGACCUCCUCUGUUCCGUAGCCCUUGGCAAUGCUUCCUUCUGGCCGGGAACGACUAUGGAUAUAUUUCUUUAGGACACCCAUGAAUCUCUCGAAGGGGAACAUGUUGUGUAGGAACACAGGACCGAGAAUACGAAUCUCUUUGACCAGAUGAACUAGGAGGUGUGUCAUGAUAUCGAAGAAGGAUGGAGGGAACACCAACUCAAAGCUGACGAGACAUUGAACGACAUCAUUCUGCAGAGUAGCUAGUUGCUCUGGAUUGAUUGCCUUCUGAGAAAUUGCAUUGAGGAAUGCACAUAGCUUUACGGUGGCUAGACGUACGUGUGGAGGUAGAAUUCCUCUUAAAACGACCGGCAACAAUUGCAUCAUUAGAACGUGACAGUCAUGGGACUUCAAGUUCAGGAAUUUCUUCUCUGGCACAUUAAUUAUUCCCUUGAUAUUUGAGGAGAAUCCAGAUGGGACCUUGAUGCUGCUAAGACAUUCAAACAUGCUUUCCUUCUCUUCUUUGCUCAGAGUGUAGCUAGCAGGGCUUAAGUAAUGACGUCCAUCAUCUGUCUUUUCUGGAUGCAGGUUGUCUCGUUCUUUCAUGCGCUGCAAGUCUUGUCGUGCUUCAAGUGAAUCCUUAGACUUCCCGUAGACACCCAUGAAUCCGAGCAAGUUCACACAAAGAUUCUUUGUCAGGUGCAUCACGUCGAUCGCAUUGCGGACCUCUAGGACAUUCCAGUAAGGUAGCUCCCAAAAUAUAGAUUUCUUCUUCCACAUGGGUACGUGUCCCUUAGCAUCCUUGGGAAUAGGUUCGCUGCCUCGUCCCUUUCCAAAUACCACUUUUAUAUCCUUGACCAUUUCGAGUACAUCAUCCCCGGUUCGAUUGAGAGGUUUGGUCCGGUGGUCUGCCUUGCCUUUAAAAUGCUUGCCUUUCUUUCGUACUGGGUGGUUCACAGGAAGAAACCGACGGUGGCCAAGGUACACGACCUUUUGACAUUUUUUCAAAAAUACACAGUCAAGGUCUUCAUAACAAUGUGUGCAUGCAUUAUAUCCCUUGUUUGACUGGCCUGAAAGAUUACUCAGAGCUGGCCAAUCAUUGAUUGUUACAAACAGCAAUGCUCGCAGGUCAAAGUGCUCUUGUUUGUACUCAUCCCACACGCGAACUCCUGGUUUGCUCCAUAAAAGUUGAAGUUCCUCAACUAAUGGCCUUAGGUAGAUAUCUAUGUCAUUGCCAGGUUGCUUCGGUCCUUGGAUAAGCACCGGCAUCAUAAUAAACUUUCGCCUCAUGCAUAGCCAUGGAGGAAGGUUGUAGAUACAUAGAGUAACUGGCCAAGUGCUGUGACUACUGCUCUGCUCACCGAAAGGAUUCAUACCAUCUGUACUUAAGGCGAACUGCAAGUUUCUAGCAUCAUCUGCAAAAUCUGGGAAUUCUCUGUCUAUCGCUCUCCACAGUGGGAUCCAUCGGUAGGGUGUCUCAGCAUAUUGUCUAUCUUACGGUCUUCUUUAUGCCACCGCAACAACUUUGCAUUGUCCUUAUUUCUGAACAGACGUUUUAAUCGUGGUAUUAUAGGAGCAUACCACAUAACCUUGGCAGAAAUUUUCUUCCUAUGACGUUCUUCACCCUCAACAUCGCCAGGAUCAUCUCGUCUAAUCUUAUACCGUGAUGCCUUACAUACUGGACAUGCAUCCAAAUUCUCGUAUUCCUCCCCACGGUAGAGGAUGCAGUCAUUAGGACAUGCGUGUAUCUUCUGGAUUUCUAAUCCCAAAGGGCAGACAACCUGUUUUGCUUCAUACGUAGUGGUGGGAAAUUGGUUGCCUUUCGGAAGCAUCUUUUUUAUGAUCUUCAAUAAUUGCCCAAAUGCCUUGUCAGAUGUACCAUUCUUUGCCUUCCAUUGCAGCAAUUCUAGUGUGGUACCCAGCUUUUUUUUGCCCCUCUUCAGCGGUGGGAUAUAGCGAUUUCCUGUGGUCCUCUAGCAUGCGCUCGAACUUGGCUUUCUCUUUAUCACUUUCACAUUCUCUUUGUGCAUCACGGAUGGCAUCACCAAAAGCAUCAUCGCCCCGAUCAUCUUCUGCCGCCACCUCUUCUUCAUUAUCUCCCCCCAUUGCAACAUCAUUGAAGCCACCGUACUGAGCAAUAAUAUUGGCAUGGUCCAAUUCUUCUUCUUCUUGUUCUUCUUCACCUUCAUCCAUUAUAAUCCCGCUAUCUCCAUGUUUGGUCCAACAAAUAUAGUUUGGUACGAAACCAGACUUUAAUAAGUGUGAAUGAAGAGUUCUUGAGUUAGAAUAUUCCGUCAAAUUCUUGCACACGACACAUGGACAGCACAUGAAACCGUUCCUCUUAUUUGACUCGGCCACACUUAAGAAAUAGUGCACGCCAUUAAUGAACUCUUCGGAGCGCCGAUCGGCAUUAUACAUCCAAUUAUGUGUUACCAUCUGCAUUAAAUAUAACAUAUAUAUUAUGAAAACCAUGCACACAUAUAGUUUCUCAUCUUAUUGCACAACAUAUCUAAGAUACAUAGUUGAUUAAUUUAGGAAAGCUUGGCUACAACAAAUACAAUCGCAACUAGCACUAAAAAAACCAAAACUAAAAUGCACUUAAGCAACAUAAUUAGUUCGCGUCCGAUCCCAACUAUAAUAGAUAGAUCAUUCGCUUGAUCAACAUCAUUGAACUUCUUUCGUCGGCUCACUGCCUCACCACCUUCAGCCUCAACCACCUGUGCAAAAGAUUUCUUAAUGUGUUCAAUGUAUUCUUCCUCCCAGUACCAACCUGUACAUCCGCCGGUACCGUCCCACUGAAAUUAAAAGAGAGAAUCAAAAGUUUAAUUAAUAUCAUUUAAAAAAUAUGCACAUAUAUAAGCAAAUGUCUGGAAAUAACUCACAUUACGAUCUGGACACUUGUAGAAUAUACGACCCUUGUUUACUCCCUCUUUCGACACUUUGUACUCCAUCAAAAUCUUCUGCCCACACUUGCCACAAGUAAUGAGAGGGAGUUCCGGACGGUAUCGCUUUUGAACCCGUUGAGAGACCGAAGAUGUCACACCCGGAUGUAAAAGAGCAUUCGGGUGCCAAAAUCACAUGUGCGCCAGGAUCUCAAAUUCACACACAUGGACCGACAUCAUCAAUGGUACAAAACACAGUGUUCAAACGAAUUACAUAGAUGAGAGUAAAAGUACCAUUAUUACAAGCCAAAAGUUUAUCAAAGUGCAGAGGGGAAACAUAAACUAAACUGUUCCAUAAAUAAAGGGAAAACUAAACGCCGACGUAGCAGGACCACCUUGCCACAGGAAGGUCGACGGUAGAACCACACGAGCCUAACAACCAGGAGACUCAGGGUAGUCCUCAGGGAAAUCGCAAUUGUACUCCUGAUCGUCCGAGCAACCUUUAAUGAUUAUAGCAAGGGUGAGCUCAUGUCGAACUCAGCAAGCACAGACGGAAAGUAAUGACAUGCAAGGCUUAAAACAAGGUAAAGCUGACUUGGUUUGACUGCGGUAGCAUUUUAGUUGAUCGCUUUUAAUUAUAACAAUUACUAGAACAACCUAUUACUAAAUAUGAGUAGCAUAAACCCAACCCUUAAUUAGUGUAAGUAGUAAUUAGCAUCUUUUAAAAGACUAUCCUAAUUAUUAUAGUAAUCCAGGGAUUAACCCCAAUUAUUACCACAGGAUAGCAAUCCUGCCAUCACGGAAUAGCCAUUCCGCCAAAACACGAGGUAGCAACCUCGCCAAGGUCCAUCUCCAAGUAACCAGUGAAUCCAAUUUGCUCGUCAAGUGAGGGUCUGGGCCGCUCGUGACCGUGAGCACGGCUGAUAUAUCAGUUUUACACUCUGCAGAGGUGUGCACUUUCACUCCAAGUCGUGAUUCCCAUUUGCCCGGGGUCGCGACUCCCCAAAACACUACCGAGGUGAGCAGGCAGGGUCUCACUACGAGACCUUUCACAGGGUCCAACUAAUAGGAUGCCACUCGCAAGUUUUCGCCGGGGCGCUCGACAGUCGAUACCCAUAGUCAUGGCGUACCGAUCAACCGACAACUUAAUAUUCAUUACCCAAGUUACUUCCUCACGCCUACCCGGAAAGUAACACCCUACUAGUGGAGGUCCUGCUAAUUAGUCAAGCCAGAGCCAUAUAGCUUGGAGCUGCACUGUAAGUCCCAGGGGGCCGCUCCCUGACUAAGUCCUUACGGAGAGCAGAGACGGGUACGCCCGGCAAACCGGACCACCAACGGUACCCGCUCCCCCUGUCACCACCAUCAUCACGAUGCUCAUAAGCAUCCAACAUCGCCAUCACCGCAGUGACCAAAGAUUCAGCACAAUUUAAGCAUCAAGUUGAGUAGAGACUAAUACUGGUUUAGGCAUGUGUAUAAGAUGAGUAGAGCAGCUAAGCAAACCUAGUAUAGCCUAGUCUACCCAAAUACAUAACCCCAGGUGAGCAAGGAAUAAUAAGUGAAGCUAGUCAUGUCCUUAGGGUUUGCAUUCAUUGGACACAUGCAUAUAAAGUAAAUGACAUUAAUGAGUAGGUUCAAAAUGAUCAAACGGUGUCUGCACUUGCCUUGAUCGAAGUCGGGUUGCUCGAACUCAGCGGGAUCCUGAACCUCUUCCUUCACGAACGUCUCGUUGGCUAUACGCGACAAUCAUCAAUCAUAGGAACAAUACAUGCAAGCAAACAAACUUAAUCAGAAACAGUACACCAAAGCAUGCGAAAACAAAAAGCAACUGCACUACUGUAAUCUACUCGACGAAACGAAACCAUAGCGACCAGAAUCACCUAAAUCGGAGUUACGACGCAAAAGUUAUGGCUAAAACAAGUUGAAUGGCAUUUCUGUAGAUAAACUGAACUAUUUUUCGUAAUAAAACUAAUUAAAAACUGAAUUAAUAAGGAAUUUGGAUUAAAUCUGCAAAAUCUGACGGCUGCAGGGGCUAUUAAGCAAAACCAGGGGCACAUUUCUAAUUACUUUUGAACUCAGCCGGGCCGCGGGUUAAUUUUAAAGAAAGGCAGGGGCCUUUUCGCAAAACGGCAGGGGCGCGCGGGGGCCGUGGCCAUCCUGGCCACGUGGCGGCCGGCGGUUGGCCGGUCCAUGGCGCGGGCUGUGGACCGGGGGAGGGGCGGCGGUCCACCGGUCCAUGGUGGACCGGGGGAGGCGCUGGGGCGGUGAGCCGGGUCCAUGGUGGACCGGCCACGCGGGCGCUCAGCCGCGGUCCAUCGUGGACCGCGCGCGGGGCAGGCGAGCAGCGGGCUGCGGCGGCGCGGCGAGCAGAGACGGUGGCGCCAUGGCCGCCGGCGGCGGGGUAGCGGGCACGGCCCUAUGGGGCGAGACGGGGCAAGCCGAGGGCACCACCGGGGUCGGCACGACGCGGCGAGGACGGGGCGCGGCUCACCUUCGCGAACCCGGCAGCGCGAGGAGGAGCGCGACGGCGGCGAGCUUCGGCGGCGGCGCGAACUCGGCGAGAGCGGCGGCGCGAGCUAGGGUUUAGGAUUUUAGGCGGCUCGGGGUGCGAAGGGGGGGCCCGCGAGGGCGAGUGGCGGCGCUAUUUAUAGGGCGCAGCGAACUUCGGUUCGUGUGCGCGCGGAAACCGAGGCGGCGGCGCCGUCCGUUUCCGAAACGGCCGGAGGUGGAAGAAGGCGGUGGGUCCCACUCGCGGGGCCCACGCGUCAGCGGCUGGGGGGGGCGGGAGCUGGGCGCGGCGGCUGCUGCGCGGCUGGGCCGCGGGUGGGCCGCGCGGGGAGAGGGGCGCGGGGAGCGGCUGGGCCGCGCGCGGUCGCGGGCCGAGGGGGAGGCGCUGCCCCUUUUCUUUUCUUCUUUUUUUUUUUAUUUUCAGAAACAAUUUGCUUCUCCUAUUUAAUUCUUUCUCCAACAAAAUAAAUACAAGCACCAGCAAACAAAUCAAACAAAAAUAGAUGCAGCGGCAUGAAUGCAUACGAACAAGUUUUUCUACCUUAUUUCUAAUUUUAUUUAAUUUUGUAAAUUAUUUAAUAUUUCCCAAAAAUUCAAAUUGAGCCAAAAUUAAAUCAAAUUUAAACUAAAUUUGAAAUUCAAAAAUUUGGAGUGUUAUAAACCUACCCCCCUUAAAAGAAUCUCGUCCUCGAGAUUAGGACGAACCAGGGAAUAACUGAGGGUAUUUGGAUAUUAGAUCAUCUUCUCUUUCCCAGGUUGCUUCUUCCUCGGAAUGGUGUUUCCAUUGUACUUUACACAUCCUGAUAGUUUUACUCCUGGUAAUUCUCUCUGCUGUGUCCAGGACUUUGAUAGGGCUCUCUUCAUAAGUUAGAUCCUCCUGUAGAUCCAGUUCCUCUAGUGGCAACUGUUCUUCAGGCACUCUCAAACAUUUCUUGAAUUGGGAGACAUGGAAAACAUUGUGCACGUUGGAUAAACUAACAGGCAGUUCAAGCUCAUAAGCCACUUCUCCUUUCCUCUCCAAAAUCUUGAAAGGACCAACAUAUCUUGGAGCUAGCUUUCCCUUGACAUUGAACCUCUUUAGACCUCUCAUCGGAGACACUUUCAGGUAUACAUAAUCACCUGCCUGAAAUACAAGUUCCCUUCGUCUCACAUCAGCAUAACUCUUCUGUCUAGACUGAGCUGCCUUCAGAGUCUGUCGGAUGAACUGAACUCUUUCUUCGGCUAUUCUCAAUGAAUCAGGGCCGAACACUUGCCUUUCACCAGUCUGGUUCCAGAACAAUGGAGUCCUACACUUCCUUCCAUACAAAGCUUCAAAAGGAGUCAUCUUAAGACUAGUCUGAUAACUAUUGUUAUAGGAGAACUCAGCGUAGGGCAAACUAGUAUCCCAACUAUUUCCAUACUGUAAAGCACAAGACCUGAGCAUAUCCUCUACUAUCUGGUUGACUCUCUCUGUCUGACCAUCGGACUGAGGGUGAUAAGCAGUACUGAAUCUGAGCUCGGUUCCCAAAGCAUCAUGUAACUUCUCCCAAAACUUUGAUGUAAACUGUGUACCUCUAUCAGACACAAUCCUCUUAGGAACUCCAUGCAGACACACAAUCCGUUCCAUAUACUUUUCUGCUAACUGAUCUCCACGGUAGUUAGUUCUGACCGGUAUGAAAUGAGCUACCUUGGUCAAUCGAUCUACUACAACCCAUAUUGAGUCAUAACCUCGUUGAGUUUUCGGCAAUCCCACUAUGAAGUCCAUGCUGAUCUCAUCCCACUUCCACUCAGGUAUCUUCAACGGUUGCAACAACCCUGCUGGCCUCUGAUGUUCCGCUUUCACUCUCUGACAGGUGUCACACAGUGCCACAUAUUCACCAAUAUCUUUCUUCAUACCAGGCCACCAAUAGUUUUGCUUCAAGUCCUGAUACAUCUUAGUACCUCCUGGAUGAAUAGAGUAAGCAGAUUCAUGGCACUCCUUCAGUAUCACAUCCUUGAUUCUCUGAAUAUCAGGCACACACAAUCGGUCCUUGUGCCAAACAAUUCCUUCUUGAUCAACUUUGAAUCCAGGUGCUCUACCUUCCUCUAUCAGCUUAAGUAUCUUUUUGAUCUCUUCAUCCUCUUCCUGACCUUUUCUGAUCUCUUGCUCAAGAGUUGGUUCUAUGUCCAUGGAAGUACCUUGGGUAUUAGCAACAAACCCCAAAUUGAGAUACUCAAAUUCUGCCAGUAGUUCUAUCGGUAACUCUGUGGCCUCCAACAUAUUCCCUUGACUCUUUCUACUCAGAGCAUCAGCAACUACAUUAGCUUUGCCAGGGUGGUAAUGAAUCUCCAGUUCAUAGUCCUUGAUCAACUCUAACCAUCUUCUCUGUCUUAGGUUCAAGUCAUUCUGAGUGAAGAUGUAUUUCAGACUCUUGUGGUCCGUGUAGAUAUCACACUUAUGACCCAGGAUAUAGUGUCUCCAGAUCUUCAGUGAAUGGACCACAGCUGCUAACUCAAGGUCAUGAGUUGGAUAAUUCACCUCAUGUUUCUUCAACUGUCUAGAUGCAUAGGCAAUCACCUUUCCCUCUUGCAUCAGUACACAUCCCAAACCUUGCUUGGAAGCAUCACAAUAGAUAGAAAAACUUUUAGUCACAUCUGGUAAAGUCAAAAUUGGUGCAGUAGUCAAUCUCUUCUUCAAUUCCUCAAAACUAGCCUGACACUGUUCAUUCCACUUGAAUGGCUUACCCUUCUCUAACAAAGCAGUCAUGGGCUUGGCAAUACUGGAAAAUCCUUCAAUGAAUCUCCGGUAGUAACCGGCCAUUCCAAGAAAACUUCUGAUCUCUCCAACCGUCUGAGGUGGACUCCACUUAAGAACAUCUGCCACAUUCUUCGGACUGACAGCAACUCCACCAUUUGAAAUGACAUGACCAAGAAAAGACACUUCUUUCAACCAGAAGUCACACUUACUCAACUUGGCAUAGAGCUGGUGUUCCCUCAAUUUCUGCAACACAAGUCUUAGGUGUUCCUCAUGUUCUUCCUCAGUCUUGGAGUAGAUCAAGAUAUCAUCAAUAAAGACUACCACAAACUUAUCCAAAUACUCCAUAAAAACUUUAUUCAUCAGAUACAUAAAGUAAGCUGGAGCAUUCGUCAAUCCAAAAGACAUAACUGUAUAUUCAUAAAGUCCAUAUCUGGUGGUGAAAGCAGUCUUUGGAAUAUCACUAGGUUUAAUCCUCAACUGGUGAUAACCUGACCUCAGAUCUAUCUUGGAAAACACACAAGCUCCUUUCAACUGGUCAAACAAGUCCUCUAUUCUAGGCAAAGGGUAUUUAUUCUUAAUUGUGACCUCAUUCAAAGAUCUAUAGUCUACACACAUCCUCUGUGUCCCAUCCUUCUUCUCUACAAAAAUAACUGGAGCUCCCCAAGGUGAGGAACUAGGACGGAUAUACCCUUUAGACUGUAACUCCUUUAGUUGUUUCUUAAGUUCUUCUAACUCAUUAACAGCCAUUCUAUAAGGUCUCUUAGAUAUGGGUGCAGUACCAGGUAAUAAAUCAAUAACAAAUUCAAUCUCACGUUCAGGUGGCAUACCUGGCAAAUCCUCUGAGAACACAUCAGGGAACUCUUUCACAACUCGAAUGUCUUCUACUGACCCACUGCUCACAUGGUAAACUGUUCCUUCACUGCUAGGUGACAUAGAAACUCUGACCUCAAUUCUGUUCCCACUAGGUGCUGUUAGAGCCACUGUCUUCUCAGCACACUGAAUAGUACCCUUAAACUUGGACAACCAUCUCAUUCCCAAUAUCAUAUCUAAACCUUCUGAACCCAACACAAUGGGAUUGACAGGAAAAUCUACCCCCCUUAUUUUAAUGCUCAUUCCCGGACACAAAGUAUUAGUAUGCAUCUUUCCCCCAGGUGAUUUAACUAUCAUGGUGUUUUGCAUGGUACAGGUGGCUAUACUAUGUUUCUCAACAAACUGUGCACUUAUAAAAGUAUGUGAUGCUCCAGUAUCAAACAAAACAGUAGCCGGGCAAGAGUUGACAAGAAACAUACCAACUACCACAUCUGGAGCCUCCUCCGCAGUUUCCAACUUCACAUGAUUCACCCUUCCAUUGUUGUUGUUAUUCCUCUGCCUCUGGGGGCACGCAUUCGCGUAGUGUCCAAGCUGACCAUACUUGAAGCAGGUAUUUCCAGUGGGGGCGGGGUUGACAUUGGGCUUCAUUGGGACAGUAUUGGAGUUCUGGCGAGAGCCUGAUGGUGCUGGGGCAUUCUGGCGAGGCGCCUGACUAGCGGGGCGCUGCACUUGGUUGUUGUUGUAGCGCUGGCUCGUCUGCUGACUCUGGUUGCUGUACCUGAUGUUCUGUUGCUGUCCUUGGUUGCCUGACUGAUAUGCAGGGCGAGACUGAGGGCCCUGCUGGUUGUUGUAACGGGGACGACUGGCACCAGCCUGCUGCUGAGAGGAAUUAUACUUCCUCUUCUUGUCUUCCAUCUUGCGGCGCUUGCUCUCAAGCACCAAUGCCCUGUCCACCAUCUCCUGGAAACUGGCAUACUUGACAUUCGACAUCAUGUAGGACAGACCAUCAUUCAAACCUUCCAGGAAGUGGUCUUGCUUGUCUUCAUCAUUCUCCACUUCAUUGGGGCAAUACCGCGACAACUGAGUGAACUUGUCACGGUACUCACAAACUGUCAUGGAGCCCUGCUUCAGAGACAAAAACUCCUUCUUCUUCAGCUUCACCAAUCCAGCAGGCACAUGAUGAGUCUUGAAGGCGACCUUGAACUCAUCCCAAGUGAUAGUAUCCGAGUCCUGAUGUGCAAAGCAGUAUGAAUCCCACCAGUCCUGUGCGGCUCCCUGAAGCUGCCCAGAGCCAUACAGAACCUUCUCCCUGUCAUUGCACUGAGCAAUGACCAGCUGCUUCUCCACUGCCUUAAGCCAAUCCUCAGCUUGCAUAGGAUCAGCUGAGUGGGAGAAGAACGGUGGACGUCCCUUCAUGAACUCUCCACGCUUGUCCCUAGGUGGGGCAAACACGUUGUUACCUCCUUGAUGUUGGUUCUGAUUCUGGUUUUGGUUCUGCUGCAUGUGGUUCAUAAUAUGAGCCAUCCCUUGCAUCAGUUGAGUCUGCAUAGUCAUCAACUGCUCUAUGGUCAUGGGCUGAUUCCCAGGAGGAGGAGGGUUGGCAUUAGUCCCGCUCUGAUCAUUGUUGUUAUUGUUGGACUGUCCAUUGUUUCCUCCGUUGGUGUUGCUCCUGGUGUGGACAGGCAUCUGAUAUAUAGAAAUAAUAAAAUCAGAUGUAGUUCAUAUGUGUAAACCUGAGCUGUAAUGUAAACUGCAAUGUAAUAAUCUUUCCUCAAAGUAUGACCCAGCUGAUAGUUACUUUCCUUUCUCAGUUGAUAAACACAGUACUCACAACAGAUGUAAUAUAUAGAUAAUGAACUGAUCAUGAUAGUGUAAGACUGAUAAGAUAAAGCGAUAUGAAAUAUGAUAAGGCACAAAUGAAGGAGACCGAUGAUAACCCAAACUAUCUCAAAUAAACUUAAUACUUAAUCUUAUUCUUGAUGCGUUGUGGACAUAACCCACAACUCAUCGCACUCAUUACAAAGAACCAAAUCACACCAUUAACACAAUAAUAAAUCAAGUUCUCACACAGACCAAGCAAAGCACACUAAGCAAACCACUAAGCAAUAGACUCGCAUAACUAAGGUCGUGCUAAUGUUCUAAGCGUGGCACUAUUUAUUACUAAGCUGGGAAUAGCUCCUAUUCUAUAGUAGUACGAGCGCUGGCAUCUCCAUAGGCUGGAUCUUCACGAGGCGGAGAGAAAGCAGGCCACUUAGGUGAAGGCGGUGGCACUCCAGUGAUCUGAGCCUCCAGCUGCGCUAUCCUCUUCCUGGCGUCGUCCAACUCCUUCCUGACUUGCUUCAACUCCACUAGUGAAUUGUUGAGCUCGGUGUUAGUGACCGCCACCAGCUUGACAGUCCUGUGCAUGCGGGGGUCUUGCUCAUCAGUGGUGGAAGCAAUAGUCAUCGCCAACUCUCCACGGCGACGGCGAGGGUAGUAGCGACGCUCAUCCUGGUUGAUCUCCUCGAAGAAGUGAUCACGGUAUGCGUAGAAAGCCUGACGAGCAGCAUCAUUAAUGCCCGCCAUCUGGGUAGACCUCUCAGCCACAGCCUCAUGCAUGGACAUGAUCCUCAGUGCCCUCAACGUCGGGUUAGGCCUGCCGACGUGUGCCCAGACCUUCCAGUACGCCGGGUAGUCUGGGUGACUCCAGUGCUCACUGCGGUACUCCACUGAGAACAUGCCAUGUCCCAGCUGCUGGUCAAGGAGACGCUUCAGCUCGCUGUGGAAGAAACACUCUCCACCAUCCCUGGUGCAGACUGUCACAAUCCACCCAUCAUCAGCAGCAAAAAGUCCAUCUUGACCUCCAGGUCCUCCAGGUCCACCGGGUCCUCUGGGUCCUCCAGGUGCAUCCUCAUCAUCAUCAUCCUCAUCAUCAUCAUCCAUGUCAUCAUCACCGAAGGGAUCAUCUCCUCCAGGUGCCCAGCAAGGCGCCCUUCCAUGCACCACCAGAGCUUGAGGUGGUUGCUGUCCUUCAUAGGGUUCCGCGUCUUGGAGGUUAGCACCGUCAUCAAGAUGCUGGUUAGGCUGGAACACGAUGUUAUCCACGCGACCAGUCAACGAGAACUCCACAGCUUGAACGGGGCGGAAACGGAUAACGCUCUUGCGGCAGGUCAGGUGGCGAGUCAUCUACUUAUGCAUAAGAUCAUAGACAUGCAGGAAACGGUUAAUAGAUCAUGACAAUGAUAGGUAAAUGAAUAACAUAAAUGAAGGUAAAAGUGUAUGUGUAAUGAAGAUGAACCAAGAUUAUACAAUGGGUGGACAAUAUGAACUUUGGUGUUAUUUAUGGUAAGAUAUAAAAGCAAGUAAUGAAGGUAUAAAGUGAAAACAAGGUAAUGAAAUUUAUUGUCAAGGCAGAAAUAAAACAUAACUCAAGUAAUAAAUGAAAAACAAGGAACAAGAAGGUAAUAUGAGUAGAAUGAUAAUAAAUGACAAGGUAUAAAAGAAAGGUUCAAAUAACAAGUAGUAAAAGUUGAAACAAGAAUAUAAAUGCAAUAUGAGAAAUAGAAAGCAAUAAAUGAUAACAAGGUAAUAAAUGCAAGAAAUAAGUGAAUAAACUGAACUGUUAGUAAAAGUAAGUAGAUAAGGCUAAGAGAUAAAGUCUAAUGAGACAGGUUAGUAAGGUAGUUAAUAGAUCCAAUGGUGUAUUCCACCCAAAAGGAACAAUCUAAACGGCUGAUUCUAACUAGGCUGCGUGAUCCUACGGUCAACACGGCUUUGGUACCACUUCUGUCACACCCGGAUGUAAAAGAGCAUUCGGAUGCCAAAAUCACAUGUGCGCCAGGAUCUCAAAUUCACACACAUGGACCGACAUCAUCAAUGGUACAAAACACAGUGUUCAAACGAAUUACAUAGAUGAGAGUAAAAGUACCAUUAUUACAAGCCAAAAGUUUAUCAAAGUGCAGAGGGGAAACAUAAACUAAACUGUUCCAUAAAUAAAGGGAAAACUAAACGCCGACGUAGCAGGACCACCUUGCCACAGGAAGGUCGACGGUAGAACCACACGAGCCUAACAACCAGGAGACUCAGGGUAGUCCUCAGGGAAAUCGCAAUUGUACUCCUGAUCGUCCGAGCAACCUUUAAUGAUUAUAGCAAGGGUGAGCUCAUGUCGAACUCAGCAAGCACAGACGGAAAGUAAUGACAUGCAAGGCUUAAAACAAGGUAAAGCUGACUUGGUUUGACUGCGGUAGCAUUUUAGUUGAUCGCUUUUAAUUAUAACAAUUACUAGAACAACCUAUUACUAAAUAUGAGUAGCAUAAACCCAACCCUUAAUUAGUGUAAGUAGUAAUUAGCAUCUUUUAAAAGACUAUCCUAAUUAUUAUAGUAAUCCAGGGAUUAACCCCAAUUAUUACCACAGGAUAGCAAUCCUGCCAUCACGGAAUAGCCAUUCCGCCAAAACACGAGGUAGCAACCUCGCCAAGGUCCAUCUCCAAGUAACCAGUGAAUCCAAUUUGCUCGUCAAGUGAGGGUCUGGGCCGCUCGUGACCGUGAGCACGGCUGAUAUAUCAGUUUUACACUCUGCAGAGGUGUGCACUUUCACUCCAAGUCGUGAUUCCCAUUUGCCCGGGGUCGCGACUCCCCAAAACACUACCGAGGUGAGCAGGCAGGGUCUCACUACGAGACCUUUCACAGGGUCCAACUAAUAGGAUGCCACUCGCAAGUUUUCGCCGGGGCGCUCGACAGUCGAUACCCAUAGUCAUGGCGUACCGAUCAACCGACAACUUAAUAUUCAUUACCCAAGUUACUUCCUCACGCCUACCCGGAAAGUAACACCCUACUAGUGGAGGUCCUGCUAAUUAGUCAAGCCAGAGCCAUAUAGCUUGGAGCUGCACUGUAAGUCCCAGGGGGCCGCUCCCUGACUAAGUCCUUACGGAGAGCAGAGACGGGUACGCCCGGCAAACCGGACCACCAACGGUACCCGCUCCCCCUGUCACCACCAUCAUCACGAUGCUCAUAAGCAUCCAACAUCGCCAUCACCGCAGUGACCAAAGAUUCAGCACAAUUUAAGCAUCAAGUUGAGUAGAGACUAAUACUGGUUUAGGCAUGUGUAUAAGAUGAGUAGAGCAGCUAAGCAAACCUAGUAUAGCCUAGUCUACCCAAAUACAUAACCCCAGGUGAGCAAGGAAUAAUAAGUGAAGCUAGUCAUGUCCUUAGGGUUUGCAUUCAUUGGACACAUGCAUAUAAAGUAAAUGACAUUAAUGAGUAGGUUCAAAAUGAUCAAACGGUGUCUGCACUUGCCUUGAUCGAAGUCGGGUUGCUCGAACUCAGCGGGAUCCUGAACCUCUUCCUUCACGAACGUCUCGUUGGCUAUACGCGACAAUCAUCAAUCAUAGGAACAAUACAUGCAAGCAAACAAACUUAAUCAGAAACAGUACACCAAAGCAUGCGAAAACAAAAAGCAACUGCACUACUGUAAUCUACUCGACGAAACGAAACCAUAGCGACCAGAAUCACCUAAAUCGGAGUUACGACGCAAAAGUUAUGGCUAAAACAAGUUGAAUGGCAUUUCUGUAGAUAAACUGAACUAUUUUUCGUAAUAAAACUAAUUAAAAACUGAAUUAAUAAGGAAUUUGGAUUAAAUCUGCAAAAUCUGACGGCUGCAGGGGCUAUUAAGCAAAACCAGGGGCACAUUUCUAAUUACUUUUGAACUCAGCCGGGCCGCGGGUUAAUUUUAAAGAAAGGCAGGGGCCUUUUCGCAAAACGGCAGGGGCGCGCGGGGGCCGUGGCCAUCCUGGCCACGUGGCGGCCGGCGGUUGGCCGGUCCAUGGCGCGGGCUGUGGACCGGGGGAGGGGCGGCGGUCCACCGGUCCAUGGUGGACCGGGGGAGGCGCUGGGGCGGUGAGCCGGGUCCAUGGUGGACCGGCCACGCGGGCGCUCAGCCGCGGUCCAUCGUGGACCGCGCGCGGGGCAGGCGAGCAGCGGGCUGCGGCGGCGCGGCGAGCAGAGACGGUGGCGCCAUGGCCGCCGGCGGCGGGGUAGCGGGCACGGCCCUAUGGGGCGAGACGGGGCAAGCCGAGGGCACCACCGGGGUCGGCACGACGCGGCGAGGACGGGGCGCGGCUCACCUUCGCGAACCCGGCAGCGCGAGGAGGAGCGCGACGGCGGCGAGCUUCGGCGGCGGCGCGAACUCGGCGAGAGCGGCGGCGCGAGCUAGGGUUUAGGAUUUUAGGCGGCUCGGGGUGCGAAGGGGGGGCCCGCGAGGGCGAGUGGCGGCGCUAUUUAUAGGGCGCAGCGAACUUCGGUUCGUGUGUGCGCGGAAACCGAGGCGGCGGCGCCGUCCGUUUCCGAAACGGCCGGAGGUGGAAGAAGGCGGUGGGUCCCACUCGCGGGGCCCACGCGUCAGCGGCUGGGGGGGCGGGAGCUGGGCGCUGCGGCUGCUGCGCGGCUGGGCCGCGGGUGGGCCGCGCGGGGAGAGGGGCGCGGGGAGCGGCUGGGCCGCGCGCGGUCGCGGGCCGAGGGGGAGGCGCUGCCCCUUUUCUUUUCUUCUUUUUUUUUUUAUUUUCAGAAACAAUUUGCUUCUCCUAUUUAAUUCUUUCUCCAACAAAAUAAAUACAAGCACCAGCAAACAAAUCAAACAAAAAUAGAUGCAGCGGCAUGAAUGCAUACGAACAAGUUUUUCUACCUUAUUUCUAAUUUUAUUUAAUUUUGUAAAUUAUUUAAUAUUUCCCAAAAAUUCAAAUUGAGCCAAAAUUAAAUCAAAUUUAAACUAAAUUUGAAAUUCAAAAAUUUGGAGUGUUAUAGAAGACCCGGUCACGGUUGCCAUCUACUAUCCAUACUGAAUUUUUAAACAAUUAUAAAUUUCACGUUUACUAGUAAACAUGUAUGAUACAAUGGACAUUAUAUGUAGUAAUAAAAAUAAAUCAAGUGAUAUUAACAAACCAAAUAAUUUGAACUAUCCUACUUUCUAAGAUCAUAAAAAUAUACUAUAAUUUAUUUUUGCAAACUACAUUAAUAGCAGGUCAACCAUAAAAUAUGAUAUAUAUAUAUAUGGAUACUAAUUCAUGUGAAUGAUUCAAAAUAACAACGUGGAUUUGAGCUAAAAAUAAUGGGAACAUCACAAGCCAAAAACAACAUAAAAAAGACAAGAAAGACAAAAGUUAGUCACCUCCAAACACGAAGAAACGAUGACGGAGUCGAAGAAGAUCAACAAUGGGCGUCGGAGACGAAGAACAAAUGAGAAAGAAGAAUCUCCAAGAACAACAAUGGUGAAUGGUGCUCUCGGUUUCAAAUGGGCAGAGAAGAGGAGUGAUCCGGCCUAUAAACCAGACCUUUAGAACCGGUUUAGAAACAAAACCGGUACUAAAGGGUCACCCUUUAGCACCGGUUUGUAACACAAACCGGUGCUAAAGGCUUUGCAUCGGCCCGUGGCGCUGGGCGGUGCUAAAGGGGACCCUUUAGCACCGGUUGGUAACACGAACCGUUUCUAAAUGGUCUCUGCCCCGACAGCACCUGUCAGUAGCCGUUGGGCAGGACCCUUUAGCACCGGUUCGUGUUACGAACCGGUGUUAAAGGGGUCUUUAACCUCGGGCCGUAAAAAGGCCGAGGUUUUUGGUCAUUUUAGGCAUCGACCAAUGCCUCAUUCUAUAGUAGUGUAGUUCAUUUGAAUGACGACUUGAGGUAGGGAAACCAAUCUGUUGAGAUGAACAUGCGGUCCUGAACCAUUCCGCACAUUAAUUUAUGUCGUAAUCCUUUUCUUUCCUAAUAGUUUAACCUCUUACAUAUGGAACCUAGGUACACUGCUAAGAUUAAACAGAAUGGCAGUAUGUAGAUAUGUGUGCAUGUUGCCGGUCACGUGAGUACACUUUCCACACUCGUCUCGUGACCGCAAUACCCAAUACACAGUUAACGUUAGCCGUGGUUUAAAUAAUGGAGACUUGGGACAGAUUCCUUGAGUCUGGAGAAAAGCACUGAUUUCAUUUGUUUAUGCGGCUCUUCCCAGAUCAGAUGCGUCUCCGCUCAACCCCAUUCGAGCAAACUCCUGCACCACUCUUCAAUCCCCACUGCUCACUACUGACCAUCCGUUCUCUCACCUACGGGCUCCAUGAAACCUUGGUGAGUUGCGCAUCUUCAAUUUUGAUUUGUUGCUUUUUCUUCUUCUCUUUUCGUGGGGGAUGAAUGCUGCUUCUGCAAUCAAAUCUGCACGACAGCUCUUUUCUGAUCUCUAGAUCCUCAUUCAAAUGUGCUUUCAGGGAUAUCAGUAGUCAGUAGUGACCUUCUUGGGGGCCAUGGAGUUUGCGACUGGGGCACUGGGCACCCUGCUUCCCAAGCUAGGACAGCUGCUCCAAGAUGAGUACAACCUUCAGAAGGGAGUGAAGAAAGACAUCCAGUUCGUCAGGAAAGAGCUGGAGAGUAUGCAUGCCGCCCUCCGCGAUGUCGGAGAGGUGCCACAGGAGCAGCUCAAAGAAGUAAUUAGGAUCUGGGCUCGGGAUGUUCGGGAGCUCUCCUACGACAUGGAGGACAUAGUUGACACCUUCCUGGUGCGUGUCCAGGGCUCCGAGCCUCCCAGCAAAAGGAGUGUGAAAAGGUUCGUCAAGAAGAUGACAAGUAUUGUGAGCAACGCCAAGACUCGCCAUGACAUUGGCCAAGAGAUCAAGGACAUCAAGGAGCGUGUCAAAGACGUGGCCGAGCGACGUGACAGGUUAGUGCCGGGACAUCAUAGACUUUUGCGUUUGAAUUUCAGCAAAAUUUUCUCUUAUUUGCCUCUUUGUUCUGGUUUUUUAAUCUCUCUACUCAGGUACAAGGUUGAUGCUAUUACUCCUACCAAAACUGCAGUUGACCCUCGCAUAACAGCUCUAUACACUAAAGCGGCUAGCCUUGUGGGCAUUGAUGAGCCAAGGGAAGAGCUCAUCUCGAUGUUGACAAAGGAGGAUGUUGGCGAGUCGUCUGUUGGUCAAAGGAUAGUCUCUAUUGUUGGCUUCGGAGGACUAGGCAAGACAACGCUUGCUAAAGCAGUUUAUGACAAGAUUAAACAACAAUACAAUUGCACAGCUUUUAUAUCAGUGUCUCGUGACCCUGAUAUUAUAAAAAUUUUGAAGGACUUGCUUUAUGAGCUUGAUAAGAAUGAGUACAUGGGCAUUCAUAAUGCUGCAUUGGGUCAACAGCAUCUUACUGACCUUGUCCAAGAAUUUCUCAAAAAUAAGAGGUACGUGCUGUCUUGGGUGCUAGUCCAAAUAAUCGUGGCAUAAAUCCAUUUGAUGGAAACCUCUGAAGACUAUUACACACAUGCGUGGUACUAUCAACAGUAAAUUGUAGGUUCAUGUUUGGUUACAGUCGUCAAUGAGAAAUUGGGGCAGCGGCUUUUCAUGUGUAUCAUCUUUCCAUUGUAAAAUUGCCCAAUCAGUUUUUACUUUCAAACCAAAUGAUUACACAACUGUGCGUAAACAAGCAUUGUUGCCACCAUUUGUCCUCAUUGUACUCUACCUACUAGCAUCAAUGUUUUUUUAUAAUAAAAGGUUUUGUUAAUUUAAAGAACAUUGUAUCAGGUCAACGAAAGAUCUCAAAAACUCCAUCGAUCUUUGUAUAGCAUGAUUAAUUGCACACAUAUGUGGUGUCUGACAACAGGAAUAUGUUGGAUUUAUGACGUACAAUUAUAUAUAUCAGUGGCUAAUUGUGUUGUGUGUGCAUGUAUGACAUGGAUGAAAUAAACAAUUUCUUUUGUAUUUUUAUGUUACAUUUUAUACCAAAAGAUCACACAGCUAUAGUAAUAUUCCACCAAAGGAUGCCAACAUGUAGCUAAAAUUGCUUCCAUAUAUCAUCCGAUUUCAUACCGACCUAACCUGAGUGCAAACUUGAUAACUUUAACUCUUUAGUAGAGAUUAAAAGACACAUGAAAAUAGUAAGAAUGGACCUGUUCCUACUUAUUUCCUUGCAAGUUAUUACCAGCAUAUGCUUAUAAUGUAAAUGAUCUCUAUCUAUUCUUAUCAUGACUCUCUAUUGUUGCAUACAUACAGGUACCUCAUUGUUAUCGAUGAUAUAUGGCAUACAAAACCAUGGGAGAUGAUACGGUGCGCGCUACCUGAGAAUUGCAGGAAAAGCGGAGUACUCACAACUACCCGCAUAAUUGAUGUUGCUGAGCAUGUUGGUGGUUGCUAUAGGAUGAAACUUCUUACUCAAGAUAGCUCUAAAAUCUUAUUCUAUGGACGAAUAUUUGGCUCUAUAGACAAGUGUCCUCCACAAUUUUCUGAUGUAUCUGAAAAAGUUUUGAAGAAAUGUGGAGGUGUUCCGUUAGCUAUUGUUACCAUAUCUAGCUUGCUGGCUAAUAAGUCAAGAAAUAUAAAUGAGUGGUACGACGUGUGUGAUGCAGUUGGUGCCGGAGUGGGAAACAAUCCUGGCAUGGACGACAUGAGGAAGAUAUUGCUGCUUAGCUAUUAUGAUCUAACUCCUCAACUCAAGACAUGCAUACUAUACCUAAGCAUAUUUCCUGAAGAUUAUGAGAUUAAUAAAUUCAGAUUGAUUUUUAGGUGGAUAGCUGAAGGAUUUGUCCACCAAGGAGAUGGGAGGCAAAGCUUGCAUGAGAUUGGACAGAGUUACUUCAAUGAACUUCUAAAUAGAAGCCUGAUCCAGCCAACAGACAUGGAUGACGAUGAGAUGAAUCCUUUUUCUUGCCAGGUUCAUGAUAUGGUGCUAGAUCUCAUUUGCUCCUUGUCAAGAGAUGAAUGUUUUGCUGCCACAUUAAAUGGUGACUGCAAGGAAAUCACAUCUUCUUUGGGAAGCAAGGCUCGGAGGCUCUCUAUCUAUAAUACCACUUGGCCUACUAUUAACAUGUCAACAUUGAGGUCGCUCACUAUCUGCAGUUAUGCUUUAAUUAACAGUAUGCCACCCCUUUCAAGCUUUUAUCUUCUGCGUGUAUUGGAUCUUGAAGAUUGUAAUCUUAGUGAUCAUUCAAGUAUAGAGUUUGUUGGUAAAUUACUUCACAUGAGGUAUCUAAGUCUAGCAGGCACUGGAUAUGCUGGCGACAUCCCAAGAGAGAUAGGGAAGCUACUGUUUUUGCAGUCAUUUAAGUUCGAUGGAACUGACAUAAAAGUACUGCCAUUGAGUUUCUUCGGGCUGAGACAAUUAAUGAGCCUUUAUGUUGGGCACAAUACAAGGCUGCCAACAACAAGUGGGUUGAGAAAUCUAUCAUCUCUGGAGAUGCUAUGGAUUAAUGUGGAUUCUGCAUACGUUGCAGAACAGCUAGGCCAUCUAACACAACUGAAGGUGCUAGGGGUUGUGCUCAUAAAGGACAAGGAAGGCAGAUGCGAUAAAAGCAUGUGCAGUCUCCCUUGGCAAACUGCACAAAAUCCAAAGUCUAGGAGUAGUAAUCCCAGAUGAUGUGGAUGUUGAUCUUGAUGGUUCAUUGGACUCCCUGUGCAGUGUAUCCAAUCUUGCUAUUUUUGGAACCAGUCGGUUGCCGACAUGGAUCGAUCCCACAUCAUUUCUCCUCCUAUCCUACCUGUACAUAAAGGUGGGUCAAAUUAGAUGUGAGGACAUCCAAGUCCUUGGCAUGCUGCAGGCUCUUCUUGUUCUAGAAGUGAGGCCUUGUUUAGUUCACCCUGAAAACCAAAAAAUUUUCAAGAUUCCCUGUCACAUCGAAUUUUGUGGCACAUGCAUGAAACAUUAAAUAUAGACAAAAAUAAAAACUAAUUACACAGUUUAGCUGUAAAUCACGAGACGAAUCUUUUGAUCCUAGUUAGUCCAUGAUUGGAUAAUAUUUGUCACAAACAAACGAAAAUGCUACAGUUCCGAAAAGUUUUCACUUUUCGGAACUAAACAAGGCCUGAAAGUGUCUGGCGCCAAACAAAUGUUUGUGAGGUUUAUGGUUACCGUGGAUGCCUUCCCAUGUGUGACACGUUGCAAAUUCUCUGGGUUUUCAACGGUGCCAUCUAUGUUCCCACCAGGAGCUAUGCCUAGGCUUCAACGUUUUAAAUUCUGUUGGGAAGGUGCUCUCCACACUCCCCAGCAGUACGGUGAAUGGUGAACCUUCUCACUCGGUGCCGUGAGAGGUCUGAGCUCCAACAGACAAUAGGCUCAACAGUAGGUGAAUACAGUGAAUGCUCUCCCCUCUCUUAUUAAUGUCGGCGUGCUCCUUUUAUAGGGCUCGGAAACCGACCUAAGACAGUUACAGAUAUGCCCCGCGACGGUGGAGGAAUAUUCCAGCAUAUUCGUACAUCACAGUCUGCUGAUCCUAAGUUACUUGCGUAAUUUCACACUACAGGCUCUCCACGCGCUCCUCGCCCGGGGCUUCAGACUGUCGAACGCUCGUAUCCCUCGCUCGGCAGUCGAACCUUCGACUCUUCCGAGUCGAAGGUUCCCUGAAUCGGCUGAGUCGGAGGUUGCUCGGGUUGGCCACCUCGGAGGCCGCUCGGCUCAGAUGGGCCGGAGGUUUAUCUCCUCCGCCGCAUCUCCCGAACAUCCUUCUCCAAAGGAAAGCUCGAAGGUUCCCCCCUUCUUCGCCCGCAGAUCUCCGCCGGUGCUCCAGUCCCUGCAUAUGCUCAACAUAGCGAGAGUCAUGUCAACGUUAGCCUUUCUCAGGGUCCUCCGCAUGCAUCUGCACGGAGGUUCCCUGGGUGGAGGAUAGCCUUAGACGCUACCAGGUCGGAGGUUACUCGGGUGAAGGAUAACCUCAGACGCUACCAGGGGGAAGGAUGCGGCCUUUUCCCAACAGUUCCCCCCUUUUUGGGCUAAUGGCACUCCUGCGGUCCAUGUGCUCAAAAACAUGCCACGCUGCGGAGACUAUGAGCAUGGUUGCUGCCUUCCCCCCUGGUGCGCAGGAUGUGUUUGUUAGCAAAUGUUGGAUAACUGUUUCUUUUACUUUGUCAUAAAUUUUCUUGGUUUCUUUGUUUUGCCGGGAUCCUCCGACCAUUGCUGCUAUGUUAGUCUGGUAUCCUACGCGCGUUAGAUUGCGGAGGAUUGCGGAGGAUGUUUUUGCCGUUGGAGUUAGCCGUUGGCAUUGACGAAGCGCAACGGUCUGGCCGAUUCCUCCGCUUAUAGCCGUUGGGCGCGGGGAAUCGCAACGGCCGCGCGGUCGCAGGCCCCCCCUAUAAAAGGGGAUGCUGGGGAGCUUUGAGCUCUCACCCCUGCUGCUCAUUGCCUGCACACCUUCCUUCGCUACGUCUUUCUCUCUGAGCUGCUCGCGUGCGUUUCUGUUUAGUUCUAAAGUGUUGUCGGAGGUUUUACGGUGGCUCAGCUUCCUUCACCGCGUCCUUCGAGGUCAGAUUUUUCUAGUCCUUUGCGCAGUUUCCUUAGCGUGAGGUCUGGAGGUUGGCUGCGGAGGUUUGAGGAGUGGAUGCUUGAGGUGGCUGCAGCUCAAGAUCUGGAGGAGACGUUGUCUGACGUCGAAGCUUCUGUCGGUGAUUUGAUCAGUGCGAAGGAGUUUGAGGAGAUGGCGGCGAUUACUUUUGAGUUCGGGCAGUCGACUGUGAGGGCGGAGGAUAUCGCUGACAUGGUUGAGGCUAGGUUUUUCAAGGAAGGUCGGGCGGAGGCUCCUCCUGCGGGUCAGACGGUGCCUGCGCCUGAAGAGGGGUAUGCGGUGGUAUUCAGGGACUUCUUUACUUGCGGACUUCGGAUGCCUCCGUAUCAUUUCCUUCGCGAAGUGAUGGAGAGUUUCAACGUGGAGCUGCAGCAUUUCAGUCCUAAUGGGAUACUGACCCUUAGCAAAUUUGCCUGGGCGUGCGAAUCCUACGGAGCUAUGCCCCACAUCGACACUUUCUGCUCGUACUUUGAGCUCCAGCGCCAGCCUAAAAAGGUGAAGGAUGCCGAAGGUGUUGAGUGCAUUGCGCAGUUUGGAAGCUGCGCGUUCAUGCCGCGCCGCACAAUGCCUGGGCCAAGGUGCGAGAUCUCCUACUGCCAAAAGGGGAAGUGGGAGAAGGAUUGGAUGAGAGCUUGGUUCUACGUGAGGACCCCCGCUGCGUCGAAGACUUUAGAUGACGGCAGCGUUGAUAAGGUUUAUCCUUACGCGUCGCUGAUGAAGGAGUUGAAGCCUUUCUCGAAGGUUGAUCCUUCGCAGGAGAUGUCGGAGGAGCGACUUGCUUGUGAUAAGGCAUUUGCGCUGGCAUGCCGAUAUUCCGGAGGUCGGGAUUUGGUUGAGGAGAUGGUCGCUGCUGACUACUGGCCACUUGGCCGCAGGACCGAUGAGUUCACCAUUGAGAUGGUGCAAGUUCCUGUUUUUGGUCCUCCGGAGGGGUUGCCGUUUCCCCGGUUCGGCGCGGGCAUUCCGGAGGAUGAGACCAAGGAGUCCUUCCUUGAUCGUGUGGAGGUUUCUGCCCGGAGGAUCGUCGGGAAGAUCUCGGAGAAGGAAUAUCUCCAGCGGAGGUCUGCGCUUGGGACGAUGCCCCGGUUCAACCGCGUUUUUGAGGAAUUGGGGAUCGAGUAUGAGGAUUAUGUUAUUCCUCCGGAUGUUUUGCUUGGGUUGGAGAAGAAGAAGGACUCCUCGAAGGCUGUUGCUUUGGCGGAGUCGAAGAAGAGGAAAGGGGGUGGCGCAGUCAAGCAACUUGCGAAGAAGCGGAGGGCGGAGGUUGUGCUAGAGACUCCUGUGGAGUCUUCCUCCGCCCGCUCAUCUGGUGCCGAGUCGAACUCGGUAGCUUCUGCACCUGCGGAGGCCGCUGCUGCUGGUGGAGCUCCUGAAGUUGAAGCUUCGCGUGCGGUCUCCUCUGUGCGCGCGCCUUUCGCGUCUCUUCUUGGGGAGGAGUCUUCCGACGCGGAGGCCCCUGAGGCGAGCCCUGCGCGGGAGGCAAAUCCUGCAGCGUCUGAGGGUCCGCGCGUUGCUUCAGUUGGCGGAGGGUCUCCGCCUAAGGAGGUUCAGGUGGAGUCCAGCGACGAAGCUGAGUCCGCCUCCGUUCGGAGGAUCAGGAGGGCGGAGGCUCCCCUUCGUCCGGCUGGUGACGGUAUUAACUCGUUGUACAUGGGUAAUGAUUUUUUGUUGAUUAUUUUGUUUUUAUGCAAGUUUUGAUUGACUUGUUCUCAUGUUUUUGGUUUGUCUUUCAGCGGAUGUUUUUGCUGGCCUGGCUACCGCGGAGGAGAUGGCUAAAGGCGCCAGCGUUUCGCAGGAGGGGCUUGCCGUUCCUCCGCCGCGUGAGCCUGCGCCUUCUGCGUUGGCCAACAGGCCUUCGCCUGCUGAUGUUCUUGGUCCUGGUGAGUUUCCUCUUUUUGAUUCAACAGUUUGGUUUGUUUUUGGCAUUUUAUUCUAAGGUUUGUUUUUGUUAUGUGCAGGUGCUUCUGAACCUUCGAUCACAGGUUGGACUGAUGCCUUGCGCGAGGUUCAUUCCUUGGUCGGAGGUUAGUGUUCUGGCCUCCGCCAAUGGUUUUUUUGUUUCUUACGAUGGUUUUUCUUAAUUGUUUUCGGUUUACAGAUCGUUUUCGUCAGAAGCUUCGCGGCAUGGAUUUUGACACGCUCCUUCGCGUGCAAUAUGAGCACCAUAGCCUUGUAUGUUUGUGCUUUGUUAUAUCUUCCUUCGCGGUUUGUCAUUCGAAGGUUUGUUGUAACUAUUUAUUUUUGAGCAGGGUCAUCACAUGGCUGCCGCCUUGGAGGAGCGUUGCUCCCGGGAGGUUAUCUGCCGUGAUGAGGCGAUUGGUGCUCUGAAGAAGGAGAACGAGACCUUGGAAGCUGAGAAGGCUCGUCUGUCGGAGGAGGUUAGGGAGUUUUCCUCCGUCAGGAGGGAGGUUGACUCCCUGAAAAAGGAGAGGGAUGACUACAAGGCUGGGUCGGAGGCUCUGAAGAAGGAGAAAGAGGAUGCCGAAGCUUCGGUGGCGGUCCUCCGCACAAGUGUUGCUGAGGCGGGGAGAGUUAGGGACGUAGCCCUGCAGCGAGCUGAGAAGGCGGAGGACAUUGCUGAACGCCUUCGCAAAGAGCUUGACGCUGAGCGGACGUCUGCAGCUGAGCUGCAGACUCGCAUACAGAAGGCGGAAGCGGAGGCUGCAGCUAUUGUCGGACUCUAUGCCGACUCGCUUGCGAAGUUUGGGGGAAGCACCUCUGCUCCUCCGCCUGGCGGCGAUGUUGGGGCUGCCCUCGCGUGGCUGAAGUCUCAUAUCCACAUGCUCCCCGACUUUGUCGGAGGUGCUGUUGAUUUUGGGGCUUUGGCUGCGGUUAGCUCCUUCGCUAGGCUUUUGCGCCGCGGAGGUUGCUCUCACGUGGAGGGAGUCGCCAAGGAGGAAUUUGCCGCGGCGGAGGACGUUGGCGAAGGGACUCCUUCCCUGCGCAAAUCUGUCCGGAACUUUAUCAGUUCGUUCUGGAUUAGGUUUGGGCGGGAUGAGGCGAAGAAAAUGGCGGAGGAUCGUCGAGCUGAGGUUUGUACUAUUCGGUUAUUUCUUUUUGUAUUUUUGCUUCGUUGCUUUGCAAUGUAACUUAAGAUGGGUAUUUUGUAGGAGAUUGCGAAGAAGAAGGCUAAGGUUGUCAAGGCCGGUCCUUCGCGUCCACCGAGGGAGGCGUGUCCUCCGACCCAGGCUGAAGCGGAGGCUCGUGAUACUGGUGCCAAAGCUCCGGAGGGAUCUGGUGCUAAGGUUUCAGAGACGCCCGAGGCUUCUGCUCCUCCUCCUCCGCCUCAGGUGUGAGGCUUUUUAGUUUUUAGGUUUUUCUUAGUAUUUUUUGCGUCCAAGCAUGUGACGCUUUUUUGUAAGUAAGGCCGGAGGUUGUGUUUUAUUUUGUAAAGACUGUUGAAAAUAUAAUAUAUUGAGUUGUUUUCAGAUAAGCCUUUGUUUUACACUUUGAUCCUGCGCAGGUCUCUGGCGGAGGACCUGCGCAGGAUCGUUUCAUUACUCCCCUUUCGUUUUUUUACAAAGGGAUUUAUGUUUCUGGCGAAUUGUGGGAGUAUUGGCGAGUUGCCUUCCCUAACAUGAGAUUGGUGGAUAUGUUCGAGUUUGUUGGAUAUGAUAUUGAUGGCGAAGGAUCUGGAUUUAUCCAGUCGCUUGCGCGCCGAGGUUCAUGGCCUCCGGCUUAGGUGGAUGUUUUUGUUUUUCUUUUCGUUUAUCGUAGGUUUUGCUUAUAUUUUUUGACAUGGUUUAAUAUGUUUAUGUAGUUGCCAUAUCCCAUCUUUCGCAUCUUUGGUGAGAGGGAUAGGGUACGCUGGGUGGCGGAGGCUUCUGAGGAUGUUGCUGAGCCUUCUCUUCAAGGUUUUCCGGAGGUUCGAAAGUUUCGUUUGGCUUUUUAGUUUUAUCCUUCGUUUGUGUUGGCUUUGAAGUUGUUAUUUUCUGCGCAGGUUGUGAGUUCUGAUCCGUUGGAAGAUCUUCCUUCGAACUUUGUCGAAGGAAGUUACGUUACCCCGGUGACGUUCAAGCGUGGGGAUUUGUACGCUAGGGGUUAUCUAAUUGAUUGGUGGCGCCAUAAAUAUCCUACGCGUAGUAUAGAUGACUUAGUUGAUUUCCUUGUUCGUGAUUACUGUGAUGAUCUUAGGCUUUUUCCAGAUUCGUAUGUUAGAAUUGUGCGAGGGUCUUAGAACCUUCGGCGUUUUACGGUCGGAGGAUGUUUUUCAUUUUUUGUUGUAAGUUUGUGUUAUGUACAUUGUAUACGGUUAAUAAAGAUCAGAUAUUUUUACCACAUGGCCUUCGCACCUUUUAAUUUUGACAGCCUUCGCGCUAUAGUUUGUACGUGACUCAUAGAUCCUUCGGUUGUUUAGUUGAAGGAGGGUUUGAAAGUUGAACUUGUACAAGCUACCCAUAAUCUUCGACUUUUUAUGGGUCGAAGGAUGAUUUUAUUCAUUUUUUUUGUAAACGAACUUUUGUAAUGAUUUCUUCAUCGAUAAUAAAGUUUUUAAUUUUGCUACAACCUUCGAUCUCAUUUUUAUUACAACCUUCGCGCUACAGCAUUUAUAUUUCGCAACGUUACGGUGGUGUUGAUCCUAAGGAUCUUUGUGUUGCUGUGGCUUGCUUGUUCUUGAUGUUUGUUGUUGCGAAGGAGUUCUUGAUUUUUUCUUGCGCGGAGGAUCGUUGCUUCUUGGCCUUAGAACCUUCGAGUUUAUUGGUGCGAAGGAUCCUUCGCUGAAUUGUGCUAUUUUUUUCCUUUGCUCGACUCCCGUGGAGUGUUGUCGAGGAGAACCUUCGGCUGUCUAAGUCGGAGGUUUUGAAGGGAUGUUACGAGACUUCGUGCGAUACCCUUCAGAGACCUCUGAGUCUGACUUCCAUUGUUUCUGUUGUGGCUGUACACGACUUUGUGGUCGAUGUUCAUCACAACGCCGUAGUUCUAGUGUUACGAAGCUUCGUGCGAUACAAACUUUUGUUGGUGUUGUGAGGCUAACUCCUGCUUCCAUGGUGGCCUAGGAUUUUUGCUUUUUGACUGCUAGGUGUGCACUCGAUGCUCUGGUCUUUGUAUGCUGAUCCUGAUUGAGGGUAGGGGUAGGGUUAGCCUGGUUUUAUAGGCUUUCAUGCAUUUAUUUUAUGUACUUGGUUAGGUUAAAAUUUAUUGUCGGGAUAUUGAUGGUUGUUGUGGUAGUUGGUUUUGCUGUACCUGACUGAGGGUUAUUGUAGUUUUGUUUUAAUUUCACACUUUGUUUGUUGGGGGUCUGCUUAGAGUAGCAGGAUACCUUCGACCUUAUUUUGGUGAAGGUUAUGUGAAUUUUGUUGAGGUCUGUCCUGUGAAUGUUAAACCUCCGCUGCCUUUUGGCGAAAAUAAUAUAGUUCCUGAUGCCUGAUUCUCCUCAGGUCUUUGUCAGGUUUGAAGGUUUUGCUCCUUCUGGCCAUGUUGUGAUGCCUGAGAAGGACAGGACUUUUUCACUUUUUGGCCAUGUUAUCCUUGCUGCCCGGCUCUUGGCUAGGUCUUUUGCUAAGGAUUUGGUGUUUUUUCACCUUUGAGGACGUUCCGAGCUUUCUUAGCUUUUGGAUGAAAGCUGCGGAGGGUCCUUGUGAUCACGUGAUGUUUUGUCGAAUGCUGCAGCCUCGUUGCUGGCUGUUUUUCGACUUCUUGGGCUUUGGUUCUGGGGUGGAUUCCUCUUUAUAUUUCAGAGGUUUUUACAUAGGUUCUGCCUCGUUAAAAACCUCACCUCCUGGUAGGAGUACCCCUGUGAGGAAAAGAGUGCAGACCUUGGAAUGCGAAAAAGUAGAAAAAGAAAACGAGCGUAUUUAGGGAUGUGGAUGCCGCCGCUUAUUUUGCAGGGGUCAUCCUUACAUUCAAAUGUAAAAUCUACGUAGAUUGUCGACGUUCCACGUGUGGGUGGAGGUUCUUCCUUCGAGGUCUUUCAGGUAGAAGGAUCCCGACCUUCCCGCUUGUAUUGCUGUAUAAGGUCCUUCCCACUUGGGUUGCAAUUUACCAGCGUUUGGGUGAUCUCCUUUUUUCCUGAGCACCAGGUCCCCAUUUUGUAUGUCUUUUCGUACUACCUUGCGGUCUCUCCAAUUCUUGGUUUCUUGUUGAUACAUGGUAAUGUUCUCCACUGCCUCAAGUCUUAUUGAUUCUAAGGUUUCCUUGCAGUACUCUUCAUCUUCAGCCAACUGCUGCUUCAUGGAACGCAGGCUUUGGUGUUUGAUUUCUUCGGGCAACAUUGCCUCUUCCCCAUACAAGAGCUUGAAUGGAGUGAACCCAGUUGUUCUUGAAACUGUUGUGUUAUGUGACCAUACAACUCUUGGUAGUUCUUCAACCCAUUUCCCCUUGCGUAGGUUGAGUAAGGUCUUGGAGAUUGCGGAGAAUAUUGUUCUGUUUGCUCUCUCCACGGCCCCGUUUGACUCUGGGUGAUACACAGAUGCGAAAGCAAUUUUGGUUCCUAUGUGAUGGCAGAAUUCCUUGAAACUGUCUGAAUCAAACUGCUUCCCGUUGUCAACCGUGAGCAAGCGUGGGACUCCGAAUCUGCAGACUAUGUUCUGCCAGAAAAAUUUCCUGAUUGUUUCAGAGGUUAUGGUUGCCAGUGGCUUAGCUUCGAUCCAUCUUGUGAAGUAUUCGAUGGCCACGACUGCGAAUUUGUUUCCCCCCUGGGCAGUUGGCAUUGGUCCUACCAGGUCCAUUCCCCAUCUCUGCAACGGCCAUGAUGCUGGUAUGAGCUGAGUUAGUGCUGAGGGUCCUGACUGAAUUGGUGAGAAGGUUUGGCAGGCUUUGCAUGUUUUCACUAUUUCUUCAGCGUCUUUAAUGUGAGUUGGCCAGUAGAAACCUUGUCUUAGUGCUUUAGCAGACAACGCGCGGGGUCCAAUGUGAGACCCGCACAUCCCUGAGUGUAUCUCUUGUAGGAGUUCUCUGCCCUCGCUUUGUGAUAUGCAUCUCAGCAAAGGUUGGACUACGCCUUUCUUGUACAGGAUCCCGUCAAUGGAGGUGUAAUUCCUUGCUCUUGCCUCCAUCCUCUUGGAUGUUGCUUCGUCAUCUACAGCUGUCUCGCCUUUGAGGCAAUCAGCUAUUGCCUGCCUCCAAUCUUCGCUUUCUGUCAGCAGGACUGAGCGAAAGGCUUUUGGCAACGAUUCGGUUGCGGGUGUUGUAACAAUCUGGUGGAAGGUUCCUUCUGGCAAGGGGGUGUUGUUGGCUGCUGCUUUCGCUAGCUCGUCUGCCUCGUAGUUUUCGGCUCUUGGAAUGUACUGCAGAGUGAAUCCCUUGAACCUUCUCUCCAGGCCUCUUACGAUGGCCAGAUACCUUGCCAGCUCCGGGUUGUGUGCUAGGUAUUCCUUCUCCACUUGCCCUGCCACCACCUGGGAGUCUGUUUUGAUGAGUAGGGUUUUUGCUCCCGAAGCCUUAGCUUUGUUCAGCCCGAGGAUGAGACCUUCAUACUCGGCUAUGUUGUUUGUUGCUUUGAAUUCGAGUCGUAUAGCGAACUUUAGUUUGAGUCCAGAUGGUGCGAUUAGGACAGCUGCUGCUCCUGCUCCCGCUUGGCCCCAGGCGCCAUCUGUAUACAGCGUCCACGGCUGAUCGACUACCUUCUCCUCGUUUUUGUUCGAAGGUGUCCAAUCUGCCAUGAAGUCAGCCAGGGCUUGAGAUUUGAUGGAGGUUCUGGGGACAUAGGUGAUAUCAAACUGUGAUAGUUCGGCCGCCCAUUUUCCUAUACGUCCGGAAGCCUCUUUGUUCCUAAGGAUAUCGCCCAGUGGCUGUGAAGUGGGCACUUUAAUCUCGUGGCUUUGGAAGUAAUGCUUGAGCUUCCUUGAUGCACACAGGACCGCGUACGCAAUUUUUUCUAUCUCCGUGUAGUUCAGCUUUGCUCCUGACAGAGCUUCAGAUACGUAGUAAACGGGUCUUUGCACCGUUCCCUUACUGUCGCUUGUCUCGUGCACCAGGACACCACUGACAGCGUGAUCGGAGGCAGCCACAUACAGUAGUAGCGGGGUGUCUGGCUCAGGCACUGUCACCACCAGGUUGGUUGCAAUGUAAUUUUUGAGAUGCCUGAAGGCCUCUGAUUGCUCCGGACCCCAUUCUGUUUUACCUUCUCCUCUCAACACUUUGAAGAAUGGGAGGCUCCGUUCUGCUGAUCUUGAGAUGAAUCUGUUGAGAGCUGCUAUUCGGCCAGUCAGCCUUUGCACUUCUUUCUUGUUUGAAGGUUCUGCCAUUGACAUGAUUGCUUUUGUUUUGUCUGGGUUAGCUCUAAUUCCUUCAGAGCUGAUGAUAUAUCCCAGCAUUUUUCCCUUGCUGACCCCGAACACGCACUUCUCCGGGUUAAGUUUCAGCCCGGCAGAUCUAAGAUUGACGAAGGUUUCCUGCAGGUCCUUGAUAUGAUCUUCCUUGCGCUUGCUCAUGACGACAACGUCGUCGACGUAGGCUAUGAUGUUUCUCUGUAGCUGACUUCCUAGAACCUUCCCCAUCAUUCUGGAGAAGGUUGCUCCAGCGUUUUUGAGACCUUCUGGCAUUCUGGUGUAGCAAUACGUGCCGAAUGGGGUUGUGAAGCUUGCCUUUCCUUCGUCUUCUUUUUUGAGCCAAAUUUGGUGGUAACCAGAGAAACAGUCCAGCAGUGAGAAUCUCUGACAACCAGCUGCUUUGUCCACAGAGGUAUCUAUCCUUGGCAAGGGGAAGGAGUCUUUGACACAAGCCUUGUUGAGAUCCGUAAAAUCUAUGCACAUUCUCAUUUUGCCAUUUUUCUUGGGGACCAAGACCACAUUUGCCAACCAUUCCGGGUAUAUGACUUCUCUAAUGACCUUUGCGUCCAGGAGUCUUUGUACCUCUGCCUUUGCGGCUAAGGUUCUUUCUUCAGACAUUUUUCUCUGUCUCUGCUUCUUCGGCCUCAUCCUCAGAUCAAUGUCCAGCGAAUGCUCUAUUAUGUCUCUGCUGACUCCUUGUAGGUCAGCGGCACUCCAAGCGAAGAUAUCUUGGUUCUUUUGCAACACGUCUAGCAGUUCGAGUUCCUCCUCUCUACCAAGGGUGGCGGAGAUGGUGACCUUCUUAUCUGGAACAGCUUCCUGCAGAGGGACACAUUUUGUUUCCUCCUGAUCAGCCAGGUCUGUUUUCCCCCUUGGCAUGUCUGGUGGCUGGGAAGCUUCAUGCUGCGUAGAGUCUACGGAGUUUAUGUUCCGGAAGGACUUGUAGAUUGCCUUCUCUAUGUUCCUUGCCUCUUUUUGACUUCCGUGAACCGUUAUUACUCCGUGCAAAGCCGGGAUUUUCAUGCACAGGUAUCCCAUAUGGGCGGCCGCAUUGAACUUGUUCAAGAAUCCUCGCCCGAAUAUGGCAUUAUAUGGGUAGUGCAAGUCUACCACAUCGAAGGUGACGUACUCUGUUCUUGCGUUCUCCGUUGUGCCGAAGGAUACGGGCAAGGCGACCUUCCCCAGAGCAUGUAUCUGCUUUCCUCCGAACCCGAUCAAAGGUGACUCCGAAGGUUGGAGUUGGCUUCUACUGAGCUUCAUUUGGUCAAAGGUUCCAGCAAAUAUUAUGUCUGCGGAACUCCCUGAAUCCACUAAGAUCCUGCUUACUCCCCAACCCGCGACAUUUGUUGUUAUGACCAAGGCGUCUGUGUGAGGGUAGCUUUCCAAUCUUAGAUCUUCCUCGGUGAAGGUUAUUGGGGUUCUGGACCAAUCAGUGCACCUCACUGGCCCUUGAACUGUAACGUUGUUGACGAGCCUGAGGUGAUCCUUCUUCUGUUUCUUUGUCUGGAACUCCAUUGAGGACCCCCCAGCUAUUGGUAAGAUCAUUCCAAUUGUGGGUAGGGGUGUAUGAGGGCCGAUCUGAUUAUCAGGGUGGGGUUCGGUUUUUGGUGGUGGUGGGGCUUGGAGCAGCUGUAGCUGGUUUGGGGGAGGAGGUAGUGACUGCUGGUGGGGUUGCGGGGUUUCGAUGUACGCGAUAUGUGGAGGUCGUGGAGGAACAUAGUUUGGUGGAAGGUUGUGGUCCGCGGUUUGCUGGGCUGGGCGCCAAGCUGGUAGGAAGCUGGGAUAGUAAGCGGAGGCUAGCGCGCUGGGCUGAAGUGGAGCUGGGUGCUGCUGGCUUGAACCUCCGACAUAUGAAUGGUAGAAGGUUUGAGGGAAUGUGUGGUUUACUUCCCGGGGCUGGGCAACUGGUAUCGGAGGUUGCGGAGCUGACCUGCUCUUGAUCCUCUCCUGAGUUUCUUUUGCAUCAGGGCAAUCUCUGGUGGAGUGACCCUUCUCUUCUCCAUGGAAGAAACAAUACUGUUUCCGUGGUCGCUGACUUUGAUUUUUUCGCCAUCCCGCAUUUCGACCCCCUCUUCCGGCUUGAUUGGGUAUGCGUUCCGAGCUCCGCGCUUCCACUGGUGGACGGUUAUUUUCCGGCCUGUCAUUUUUCGGUUGCUCGAUAUUCAUCAUCUGUCCACCAGCCUCUCGCUGUGGCCGGCGUUCAUCCUGGCUGAGGUUCUUCUUCUGUGAAUUUCUAUCAUUGCUCUGCCUCUUCUGAGAGUUUUGGUCUUCCAACCUUUUGCGGUAGUCGUUGUCUGACCUGCAAUACUUCUCAAACUCGUGGUACAGCUCGUGCAUGGAUGCUGGCUUUUCUCUGGCCAAAUGAGCCGCGAAGGGUCCUAUGCGAAGACCCUUGAUGGCCGCUUCAAUGGCAACCUCCUCCGGCACACCGGGUGCUCUCGCCUUAGUCUGCACGAACCUCUGGAAGUACUCCCGCAGUGCCUCUCCCUGAUUCUGGCGACACUGGAACAGGUCCGUGGAGGUUAGUGAUUCAACCGCGAAUCCCUGGAAAUUCGCUAAAAUCUUGUCUCGAAGGUUCUCCCAUGAAUAGAUCGACCCGGGUCUGAGCAUCGAGUACCACGCUAAGGCAUCUCCCUCGGCUGCGAUCACGAAGGAUUUUGCCAUCACAGUCUCGUUCCCUCCAGCUGAGGCCACGGCUGCCUCGAAACUCAUCAGAAAUUGGCGCGGAUCGGCCUUCCCGCUGAAUUUAGGGAGCGUGAUUGGUUUGUAGGUUGUUGGCCAAGGCGAGGUCUGCAAUCCUUCGGACAGAGGGGAACGAAGGUCCAACGUGCCCCGCAGCAUGCCGCCGUAGUUCGUCGGUUGCACAUCUAAUGUUGGGCCGGCGCUGUUCAGAACAGCGGGCUGAAUUGUCGGCUGAGCUGGAGGUUGCAUGCUAAGGAUUUCUGCCUGCAGGAGUGAAAGCUGCUGCCUGAUCUCAGCCGCUUGCGUCGCGGCUACCGCUGCCUCUUGGCUGGCGGCGUAGGCAGCAGCGAUCCGGUCUCGCUCUUGCUGAAGGUUCCGCAAUUGCGCUUGAAGCUGCUGGAGCUCUUGCGUGGCCGAGGGCUGCGCCGGGUCUGCGGCGGGAGGAGGUUCCUGGCGUGUUUCCGGCUGCUCAUUCUCUGGCUGCUCGCCCUCAGAACCUUCUCCCUCCACGGUCGCGUACGUGCUCCGCACGGCCCUCCUUGGCCUUCCUCUCCUGGAGGGCUCUCCCCGAGGUCUUGUGGUGCUUGUUCUCUUUCCAGCCAUCGCAGGUUAUAGUUCGGGCCCCACGGUGGGCGCCAAUGUUGGGAAGGUGCUCUCCACACUCCCCAGCAGUACGGUGAAUGGUGAACCUUCUCACUCGGUGCCGUGAGAGGUCUGAGCUCCAACAGACAAUAGGCUCAACAGUAGGUGAAUACAGUGAAUGCUCUCCCCUCUCUUAUUAAUGUCGGCGUGCUCCUUUUAUAGGGCUCGGAAACCGACCUAAGACAGUUACAGAUAUGCCCCGCGACGGUGGAGGAAUAUUCCAGCAUAUUCGUACAUCACAGUCUGCUGAUCCUAAGUUACUUGCGUAAUUUCACACUACAGGCUCUCCACGCGCUCCUCGCCCGGGGCUUCAGACUGUCGAACGCUCGUAUCCCUCGCUCGGCAGUCGAACCUUCGACUCUUCCGAGUCGAAGGUUCCCUGAAUCGGCUGAGUCGGAGGUUGCUCGGGUUGGCCACCUCGGAGGCCGCUCGGCUCAGAUGGGCCGGAGGUUUAUCUCCUCCGCCGCAUCUCCCGAACAUCCUUCUCCAAAGGAAAGCUCGAAGGUUCCCCCCUUCUUCGCCCGCAGAUCUCCGCCGGUGCUCCAGUCCCUGCAUAUGCUCAACAUAGCGAGAGUCAUGUCAACGUUAGCCUUUCUCAGGGUCCUCCGCAUGCAUCUGCACGGAGGUUCCCUGGGUGGAGGAUAGCCUUAGACGCUACCAGGUCGGAGGUUACUCGGGUGAAGGAUAACCUCAGACGCUACCAGGGGGAAGGAUGCGGCCUUUUCCCAACAAAUUCGAUAUUCGACCAGAGGAUUUCGGUGAUAGUGAAAUUACUGUUGAUGACCUGGCCCUAAGAAGCCUAUCAUCCCUUCAGAACGUUCGGGUUCGCCUUGAUGGAGAGGAGACAUUGAGUGAAGAGUUAGCAUUGAAAGUAAAAGAGGCACUGAGGAACGAGGCACGUGCCCACCACAAGUAAUGAGAGGGAGUUCCGGACGGUAUCGCUUUUGAAUCCGUUGAGAGACCGAAGACCCGGUCACGGUUGCCAUCUACUAUCCAUACUCAAUUUUUAAACAAUUAUAAAUUUCACGUUUACUAGUAAACAUGUAUGAUACAAUGGACAUUAUAUGUAGUAAUAAAAAUAAAUCAAGUGAUAUUAACAAACCAAAUAAUUUGAACUAUCCUACUUUCUAAGAUCAUAAAAAUAUACUAUAAUUUAUUUUUGCAAACUACAUUAAUAGCAGGUCAACCAUAAAAUAUGAUAUAUAUAUAUAUAUAUGGAUACUAAUUCAUGUGAAUGAUUCAAAAUAACAACGUGGAUUUGAGCUAAAAAUAAUGGGAACAUCACAAGCCAAAAACAACAUAAAAAAGACAAGAAAGACAAAAGUUAGUCACCUCCAAACACGAAGAAACGAUGACGGAGUCGAAGAAGAUCAACAAUGGGCGUCGGAGACGAAGAACAAAUGAGGAAGAAGAAGCUCCAAGAACAACAAUGGUGAAUGGUGCUCUCGGUUUCAAAUAGGCAGAGAGGAGGAGUGAUCCGGCCUAUAAACCAGACCUUUAGAACCGGUUUAGAAACAAAACCGGUGCUAAAGGGUCACCCUAACACAAACCGGUGCUAAAGGCUUUGCAUCGGCCCGUGGCGCUGGGCGGUGCUAAAGGGGACCCUUUAGCACCGGUUGGUAACACGAACCGUUUCUAAAGGGUCUCUGCCCCGACAGCACCUGUCAGUAGCCGUUACGAACCGGUGUUAAAGGGGUCUUUAACCUCGGGCCGUAAAAAGGCCGAGGUUUUUGGCCAUUUUAGGCAUCGACCAAUGCCUCAUUCUAUAGUAGUGUAGUUCAUUUGAAUGACGACUUGAGGUAGGGAAACCAAUCUGUUGAGAUGAACAUGCGGUCCUGAACCAUUCCGCACAUUAAUUUAUGUCGUAAUCCUUUUCUUUCCUAAUAGUUUAACCUCUUACAUAUGGAACCUAGGUACACUGCUAAGAUUAAACAGAAUGGCAGUAUGUAGAUAUGUGUGCAUGUUGCCGGUCACGUGAGUACACUUUCCACACUCGUCUCGUGACCGCAAUACCCAAUACACAGUUAACGUUAGCCGUGGUUUAAAUAAUGGAGACUUGGGACAGAUUCCUUGAGUCUGGAGAAAAGCACUGAUUUCAUUUGUUUAUGCGGCUCUUCCCAGAUCAGAUGCGUCUCCGCUCAACCCCAUUCGAGCAAACUCCUGCACCACUCUUCAAUCCCCACUGCUCACUACUGACCAUCCGUUCUCUCACCUACGGGCUCCAUGAAACCUUGGUGAGUUGCGCAUCUUCAAUUUUGAUUUGUUGCUUUUUCUUCUUCUCUUUUCGUGGGGGAUGAAUGCUGCUUCUGCAAUCAAAUCUGCACGACAGCUCUUUUCUGAUCUCUAGAUCCUCAUUCAAAUGUGCUUUCAGGGAUAUCAGUAGUCAGUAGUGACCUUGGGGGCCAUGGAGUUUGCGACUGGGGCACUGGGCACCCUGCUUCCCAAGCUAGGACAGCUGCUCCAAGAUGAGUACAACCUUCAGAAGGGAGUGAAGAAAGACAUCCAGUUCGUCAGGAAAGAGCUGGAGAGUAUGCAUGCCGCCCUCCGCGAUGUCGGAGAGGUGCCACAGGAGCAGCUCAAAGAAGUAAUUAGGAUCUGGGCUCGGGAUGUUCGGGAGCUCUCCUACGACAUGGAGGACAUAGUUGACACCUUCCUGGUGCGUGUCCAGGGCUCCGAGCCUCCCAGCAAAAGGAGUGUGAAAAGGUUCGUCAAGAAGAUGACAAGUAUUGUGAGCAACGCCAAGACUCGCCAUGACAUUGGCCAAGAGAUCAAGGACAUCAAGGAGCGUGUCAAAGACGUGGCCGAGCGACGUGACAGGUUAGUGCCGGGACAUCAUAGACUUUUGCGUUUGAAUUUCAGCAAAAUUUUCUCUUAUUUGCCUCUUUGUUCUGGUUUUUUAAUCUCUCUACACAGGUACAAGGUUGAUGCUAUUACUCCUACCAAAACCUCAGUCGACCCUCGCAUAACAGCUCUGUACACUAAAGCGGCUAGCCUUGUGGGCAUUGAUAAGCCAAGGGAAGAGCUGAUCUCGAUGUUGACAAAGGAAGAUGGUGGCGAGUCGUCUGUUGAAGAAAGGAUAGUCUCUAUUGUUGGCUUCGGAGGACUAGGCAAGACAACGCUUGCUAAAGCAGUUUAUGACAAGAUUAAACAGCAAUACAAUUGCACGGCUUUUGUGUCGGUGUCUCGUGAUCCUGAUAUUAUAAAAAUUUUGAAGGACUUGCUUUAUGAGCUUGAUAGAAAUGAGUACAUGGGCAUUCACAACACAGCAUUGGGUCAACAUCAUCUUACUGACCUUGUCCAAGAAUUUCUCAAAAAUAAGAGGUACGUGCUGUCUUGUGUGCUAGUCCAAAUAUAAUCACCGCAUAAAUCCAUUGGAUGGAAACCUCUGAAGAUUAUUACACACAUACGUGGUACUGUCAACAGUAAGAUUGUAGGUUCAUGUUUAGUUACAGUCGUCAAUGAGAAAUUGUGGCGGUGGCUUUACAUGUGUAUCUUCUUUCCAUUCUAAAAUUGCCCAAUCAGUUUAUACUUUCAAACCAAAUGAAUACACAACUGUGGGCAAACGAGCAUUGUUGCCACCAUUUGUCCUCAUUGUACUCUACCUACUAGCAACAAUGUUUUUUUUAUGAUAGAAGGUUUUGCUAAAUUUAAAAUCACUGUAUCAGGUCAACGAAAGAUCUCAAAAACUCCAUCAAUCUUUCUAUAACAUGAUUAUUGCACAUAUAUAUGGUGUCUGUCAACAGAAAAAUGUUGGAUUUAUGACAUACAGUUAUAUAUAUCAAUGCCUAAUUGUGUUGUGUGUGCAUCUAUGACGUUGUUCCAUGGUGGAAAUAAACAAUUGCUUUUGUAUUUUUAUGUUACAUUUUUAUACCAAAAGAUUACACAACAUAUUCCACUAAAGAAUGCCAACAUACAGGUAAAACUGCUUCCAUAUAUCAUAGUUCAUACCUACCUAAUCUGAGUGCAAACUUGAUAACUUUAACUAUUUAGGAGAGAUUAAAAAACACAUAAAAAUAGUAAGAAUGGACUUGUUCCUACUUAUUACCUUGCAAGUUAUUACCAACAUAUGCUUAUAACGUAAAUCAUCUCUAUCUAUAUUCUUAUCAUGACUCUAUUGCUGCAUACAUACAGGUACCUCAUUGUUAUUGAUGAUAUAUGGGAUACAAAACCAUGGGAGAUGAUACGGUGCGCGCUACCUGAGAAUGGCAAGAAAAGCGGAGUACUCACAACUACCCGCAUAACUGAUGUUGCUGAGCAUGUUGGUGGUUGCUAUAGGAUGAAACUUCUUACUCAAGAGAGCUCUAAAAUCUUAUUCUAUGGACGAAUAUUUGGGUCUAUAGACAAGUGUCCUCCACAAUUUUCUGAUGUAUCUGAAAAUCUUUUGAAGAAAUGUGGAGGUGUCCCAUUAGCCAUCGUAACCACAUCUAGCUUGCUGGCUAAUAAGUCAAGAAAUGUAAAUGAGUGGCAGGAUGUGUGUGACUCAAUUGGUUCUGGACUAAGAAACAAUCCUGGUAUGGAUAGUAUGAGGAAGAUAUUGCUGCUUAGCUAUUAUGAUCUGACUCCACAAUUGAAGACAUGCUUACUAUAUCUAAGUAUAUUUCCGGAAGAUUAUCAGAUCAAUAAGCUGCGGUUGAUAGAGAGAUGGAUAGCCGAAGGAUUCGUCCAACAAGGAGAUGGGAGGCAAAGCUUGCAUGAGAUUGGACAGAGUUACUUCAAUGAACUUCUAAAUAGAAGCCUGAUCCAGCCAGCAGACAUGGAUGAGGAUGAAAUGAAUCUUUUUUCUUGCCGGGUUCAUGAUAUGGUGCUAGAUCUCAUUUGCUCCUUGUCAAGAGAUGAAAGUUUUGCUACCACAUUAAAUGGUGACUGCAAGGAAAUCACUUCUUCUUUGGAAAGCAAGGCUCGGAGGCUCUGUAUCUAUAAUACCACUUGGCCUAGUAUUAACAUGUCAACAUUGAGGUCGCUCACUAUCAGCAGUUAUGCUUUAAUUAACACUAUGCCACCCCUUUCAUGCUUUUAUCUUCUGCGAGUAUUGGAUCUUGAAGGAUGCGAUCUUAGUGAUCAUUCAAGUAUAGAUUUUGUUGGUAAAUUACUUCACCUGAGGUAUCUAAGUCUAUCAAGCACUGGAUAUGCUGGCGACAUCCCAAGAGAGAUAGGGAAGCUACUGUUUUUGCAGUCAUUUUGGUUCGAUGGAACUGACAUAAAAGUACUGCCAUUGAGUAUCUUCGGGCUGAGACAAUUAAUGAGCCUUUGUGUUGGGGACAGUACAAGGCUGCCAACAACAAGUGGGUUGAGAAAUCUAUCGUCUCUGGAGCUGUUACAGAUUAAUGUGGAUUCUACAUACAUUGCAGAACAGCUAGGCUAUCUGACACAACUGAGGGCAUUGAUGGUUAUGCUGAUCAUAAAGGACAAGGAAGGCAGAUGGGAUGAAAGCAUGUGCAGAGUUCUGGUGCGGUCCCUUGGCAAACUGCACAAAAUCCAAAGUCUAGGAGUAGUAAUCCCAGAUGACGUGGAUGUUGAUCUUGAUGGUUCAGUGGACUCCCUGCGCAGCCUAUCCAAUCUUGGUAUUUAUGGAACCAGUCGGUUGCCGACAUGGAUCGAUCCCACAUCAUUUCUCCUCCUAUCCUUGCUGGACAUAAAGGUGGGUCAGAUUAGAUGUGAGGACAUCCAAGUCUUUGGCAUGCUGCAGGCUCUUCUUGUUCUGGAAGUGAAAGUGGAUGGCGCCAAACAAAUGUUUGAGAGGUUCAUGGUUACCGUGGAUGCCUUCCCAUGUGUGACACGGUGCAAAUUCUCUGGGUUUUCAACAGUGCCAUCUAUGUUCCCACCUGGAGCUAUGCCCAGGCUUCAACGUUUUAAAUUCUAUAUCCGACCAGAGGAUUUCGGUGGUCAUAGUGAAAUUACUGUUGAUGACCUGGCCCUAAGCCACCUGCCAUCCCUUCAGAACGUUCGGGUUCGCCUUGAUGGAGAGGAGACAUUGAGUGA